UUAUAUAAUCUUUGCUAAUUAAAAAGGACAAAUCACGUGGAAAUAAUGCUAAGGAAAAUGCUAAAUCUUUCACUGUGUUUAUGAGUAAUUAAUUAUUACUAGUGUAGAGACCCGCGCGAUGCAGCGGAUAGAUAAUAUAAGCAAAAUUUAAAAAUUUUAAUAAAAUGUAUAUUUAUAGCUAAUUGAUAUAUAGGAAGCUAUACCAUGUUAAGUGCAGCCAAUUUACAUGACUAAAUUCAACUGUUAAAAAAAUAAAAUUAUAGUUAGAAUCUACUCAUUGAUAGAAUAUUAAUAUGGUGCAUGUAAUUAAAAAAAUAAAAUUAUAGCUAGAACCUACUCAUUGAUAGAAUAUUAAUAUGGUGCAUGUAAUUAAAUGUUGCACCUUGCAUAUAAUUAGAGGAGUGGGGAGAUAAAAGGUUAGACGUUGAGAAGAGGAGAAGGUGAUUUAAUUUAAAAUUGAGGUAUGAGAAUGAAGGGUAACAUAUCUCGUGGCCAAAAGUUUUUUUAUGCUGCAUGUAAAAGAGUUACAAAAGAAAGAGGAGAGAUUAAUGGAGAAGGGGAGUGGAUUAAAGUUAUAAAAUCAAUAGAAUAUUAGUAUGGUGCAUAUAAUUAAAUUGGGCUAUGAGAAUGAAGGAUAACAUAUUACGUGGAAAAAAAAUUUUUUUGCUGCAUACAAAAGAGUUACAAAAGAGAGAGGAUGGGAGAUUAAUGAAGAAGAGGAGUGAAUUAAAGUUAUAAAACCAAUAGAAUAUUAGUAUAGUGUAUAUAAUUAAAUGUUGCACCUUUCAUGUAAUUAGAGGAGUGGGGAGGUGAAGGAUUAGACGUUGAAAAUGAAAGAUAACAUGCUACGUGGCAAAAAAUAUUGUGGCUUCAUAUAGAUUUAUUUAUAGAUUUAUAGAUAUAUAAGAAACCCCACUAAUAAUGCAUUGGUCCUGUGUCGACCGUAACGUUGUAUUGCACGAAUUUUUUUUUUCCCUACAUGUGGGGAUGUGAUUGGGUGGAUGGAGACCUGACGUGGCAGAUUUUGAUUGGCUUAUUAAUUUAACGACAAAACAUUUGUAAGUUGCUUCCACCUCAAAUAAAGCCAAUGAGAAAGGAUGUUUUCAUUGUACUAUAUUGCUGGUAGAGCACUAGGAUCUAGAGAUGCAAACGGGGCGGAUCCGGAUACCCCAUCUCCCGUUCUGUUGUUUUAGUGGGUCGGAGCAGAGUUAAUUUUUAUUUCAUUUUUUGCUCUCACUUAUCGUUCUAUUUAGAAUGGAUAAUGACGACAACAAAUUUUUAGUAGAUUUUUUGAUGAUUCAGAACAGAACACAAAAAGGAUAGAAAUUUUAUGCCCCAUACAUCAUUUUCUUAGCUGAUCAAGACGAAAUUGGGAUGGAUUAUAUUUUUUUGUUUUAUUUUUGAUCCCCACUUAUAUCAGUAUUGUACACAUACACCUUCGUUAUUCAAAGGGUUAGAUUUAUUCGCUAGUAAAAAUUUUUAAAUCAAAUAUUAGGGUGUAGAAUUUACAUCCUAUAAUAAGAUUUCUCUUUGUAGAUGUUAUGGAUUAAAUUUUUAUAACAAUGUAAGUUACAUUUCUAUGAUGGUAUGAGUUUUAUUCUUGUAUAUGGUGGGUUUUGCAUUCCACCAUUUCCAUUGAGUCAUGAUGAAAUUAUAAAAGAUCGAAUUAAAAAAAUUAUAUGAUGCUAUAAAAAAAUACCAAUAAUUUUUUUUAUAUAUUUUUUAUAAAAUGAUCACAUUUGAUUGGCCGUUAGCAUUUUCUACACGAAAAAAGAUUUUCUCUAAAUACUAUUAUCGUUACGAAUACGAAGAAUACAGCUGAUUAGUCUAUUUUGUAAUAUAACAAUCAUUCUAUUGAUAGGUCAAAUUUUUAUACUUAAUGUAAACCGUCACGAAUCCAUACAUAUCCUGAGGUGUAAUUGUAGUAUUACUCAUAUCAAAAAUGAAAAAAAAAAAGGAAAUUUGUAGCAUUACUCAUUGAAAAUAAAUGUUCAUGCUUAUCCUAGCUAGGUUUUGGUCUAACAACUAAGAAUAUUGUUCAAUUCAUUUUGUAAAGGCUAAAGGGAGUAAUCAAUGUACAAUUAACUAUUUCCAAAUUAAUUUUCUUUAGAGCAAUAAUGUUGUUGUCCUUGCUUAAAAUAUUCUUUUAUCUCUCUAGUGCCUCUAUGAAAACUUAUUUAACAACUAAUCUCUCUCUCUCUCUCUCUCUCUCUCUCUCUCUCUCUCUCUAGGUACUAGGGAACACUCCUAGGGUCAAAAUGUACAACUAAUUAAAGUGAACAAAUCAAUUAACUAGUACUCCCCUUAAUUUCUUUAAUUUAGAAAAAAAAAAACUAUCAUGUAGUGUGGUUGCUAAUUAAUAAUGCUUUAUAUAUGAGUGACUAUAUAUAUAUAUAUAUAAUAAACACAAUAAUUAAUCUUGCCAAUCAAAGGUACUAUUAAGGAGUCAAAGGGUACAAUUAAAGGUGAAGGAAAUUAAUUAACUAGUACUCACCCUAUUAAUUUGCUUUAAUUCUAGGAAAACAAAAAACUAUCAUCUAGUGUGGUUACUAAUUAAAUAAUGCUAUUUUAGUAGUAGCUAUUGAAAAUAAUAAAGAAAAAAAAAACACCACAAUUGAUCUUGGCAAUUGCAAUUACUCCUAUAGGUUCCUUCUCUCAGAUAUAAUAGAGAAAAAAAAAAAAGAAAAGAAAAAGAACCCAUGAUGUGUGUGAUUAAAUGAUCGAUAGGCGAGAUAAGAGAUGAGGAUUUAAUUUAAUAAAUAUGUGGAAUAAUCUGAUGGUAUGUCAUUUGAAAAAACCAAUCUUUUUUCGGAACGAUGUACAAAUACCUUUGAUUAUAUUUUAAUCAUGUGCAUUGUCUGAUAAGAGAUGAUAGGUGUGAAAAUUGGACGCAGAACCCUCUUAAAACUAUGAUACUAUGUUACUUAUAAAAACCAAUAUUAAUUAACUAUAAAAAAAAUACUCAAUAUUCAUCUUAACAUUUUAUGCGUUACCUAAUUAAGUUAAUGUUUAUACUAUACAUUUAUGUGCCUAUAUAUAUAUACAUCAGCUCAUUAAUUAAUUCAUGUAAUUGACAUAUGGAAAGUGAUUACUUAGCCAUCCCAGCGAGUACAUAUGUAUACACACACACACACAGAGAUCUAGACAAAAAAAAUAUUAAUAGCACCGAGACAUUAUUGUCCUUGGACGAAAAAAUAUACGAUUACCAUGAUAAUGAUCUCCUAAAAUUUAGUGAGUGAUUGUGAAAUAAUAUGAUCUAAGAGAUUAGAUUUAAUGGCGAAAAUUUGGUAGCAAUAAGUGUUUAGUAUAAUUAGGGGUGUAAACGAGCCGAACAUGAGCGAGCUAGGGCCGGCUUGUGUUCGGCUCGUUUAAUAAACGAGCCGAACACGAGCUGGCUCGUUAAAGUAUCGAGCCGAAAAAUUCAGCUCGUGUUCGGCUAGUUAAUAAACGAGCCGAACACGAGCUGGCUCACGAGUUGGCCAACAAACAAUAAGUUAAAAAGAUUAGAUUGAAUAUAUAUAAAAAAAUAAAUUUAUAAAAUUUUAUUCAUUAAACUUUGAUCUAAUAGUUAAAAUUUUAUAUAUAAAUGAGUCUUUUUAUAAUUGCGUUUGGCUUUAUAUUUUUUUUUGCUAAAAUCAAAUAAUAAAUAUAUAUAUAUAUUAUAUAUAAUUAUUUAUUUAUAUAUAUAAAUAUAAAUUAAAUAAAUUAUAUAAAUAUAAAAUAUAUGUAUUCGAGCUGUUAUUGAGCCAAACACGAGCGAGCUAACCCUAGCUCGUGUUCUGCUCGUUUAAUAAACGAGCUGAAAAAUUCGGCUCGUGUUCGGCUCUAAAUGAGCAAUUCAAUCUUGAGCUUAUUUCGAGCCGAACACUGACUCGUGAACAGCGAGCUGGAUUGCCANACCCUAAGUAUAAUAUUGAUAGUAGUCAGGCUCUCUCUCACUCUCUCUAGAUCUCUCUCUAUCUAUACAUAGAUAUUAUAUUUAAUUAUGUGCUUAUAUAUUUAUCAGCUUAUUAAUUCAUGUAAUUGACGCAUGGAAUUAAAGUGAUUGCUUAUUCAUCCCCAGCUUCAUAUAUAUACUAGUGUAGAGACCCGCGCGAUACAGCGGGUAGAUAAUAUAAGCAAAAUUUAAAAAUUUUAAUAAAAUUUAUAUUUACAGGUUAUUGAUAUAUAGAAAACUAUACAAUGUUAAGUACAACCAAUUUGCAUGACUAAAUUUAACUAUUAAAAAAAUAAAUUAUAGCUAGAAUCCACUUAUUGAUAAAAUAUUAAUAUGGUGCAUGUAAUUAAUUGUUGCACUUUAAUUAUAUAUAAUUAGAGGAGUGGGGAGGUGAAGGGUUGGGCGUUGAGAAGAAGAGAAGGUGGUUUGAUUUAAAAUUGGGCUAUAAGAAUGAAGGGUAACAUGUUACGUGAUAAAAAAAUUUUUAUGGUGCAUACAAAAGAGUUACAAAAGAGAGGGGGUGGGAGAUUAAUGGAGAAAGGAAUUGAUUAAAGUUAUAAAGCUCACUCAUUGACAGAAUAUUAAUAUGGUGGUGCAUAUAAUUAAAUGUUGCACCUUGUAUGUAAUUAGAUGAGUGGAGAGUGAAAGGUAACAUGCCACGUGACAAAAAAUAUUGUGGCUUUAUAUAGGUUUAUAUAUAUAUAUAUAUAGAGAGAGAGAGAGAGAGAGAGAGAGAGAGAGAGAGAGAGAGAGUCCGGCUACUAUACUCUUAUCGAUCGCCUUUGUACUCAUAACUUGUUUUCGAUUAUAGAGCUUCCGAAUCGACGAUCCAUACCAUUAAACAUUAUUUAGAGCAUUUAAAACUUCCAGAAAUCAAAUUUUAUAAUUUUUCGAUAUUAUUUACCUUACGAUCAAAGGCUCACAAAAUUGACAAUUUUUAAUGGCCGGUAUGAGAUAUUUACUAGUUUAACGGUGAAAAAGAAUCGGAAUAUGUUGAAUUUUUGAUAGAAAAUUCUAUUCACUACCUAAAUAAAGAUCAAUAACUCCGAUCUUAAAUUGAAGGAUCCGAUCAUCCAUUUUUAGGAUAUCAUUCGAUUUUAACCGUUCAUUUUAUACUCGCUUGAUGGACUUUAUAAUGAUUUUAAAAAAGUACAAAAUUUAUUUUCUAUAAGUGUCAAAUAUUCUAGAUCAUGUUUAAUAGUGUGGAUCGUCGAUUCGAAAACCCCAAUAUUGAAAACAACUUAUGAGUACGAAGGCGAUCGUACUCAUAAGAGUAUAGUAGCCGGACUCUCUCUCUAUAUAUAUAUAUAUUUAAAAAGAUUUAAAUAUUUUUUAAAAUUUUUUAAUUUAGUUUUUUUAUUUUUUUAAAUUUAUUUUUUAAUGAACAGGGUUAGAGAGAUAUGUAUACCUCGUUUGCUUUUUGACCUCUCCCACUUAACGGAUUUUGUGCUGAUUCAAACUAUUUGAUCAAAUCCACUUUGAAUUUGACUUAGAAACUUUUAAUGAAUUUUAAUGCACGGUGCAAUAUUGGAUAAGCGUUAUCAUAUUCCAAGAACACCUCUAUUACAAAUCUACGUAACGCUUACAUGCAAUUUAAAUAUACAUAAAGAAUAAUAAAAAGAGAUUAAUUAACUGGUUUAAUUUGUUGAAUUUAACAUCACUUUCCUUUUCUUAUAAAAAUGUAUGUGUCUUACGUCUUAUAAAAGUCUUUGUAACAUUGUUCCUAUCUACUUAGACGUGUCAGAUAACAAUUAUAUAUAUAAAAAUAAACCAGAGUAAUUAAUAUUUUUAAAAAUAAACUCAACUAUAGACCAAUUUGAAACAAAAUUCUCACGUUUUAAUUUAUUUUAAUUUAAAUUAUUCUUUUAGUUAAAUUCACAAUAAAUUGGUAAAUCACUCAGCGAAUUCAUCAAACUUUUUUAGCUGUGGAAAUCACUUGCUUCGUCUCAAUUGGUUACUGGAUAAAUAAGUCAAAUUCGUUAAUUAAUAUGAAAGAAAAAAAAUCUAUACUAUAUAUAAAAGCGUACAGAAAUGACAGACGGAAUAAAAAAGAAAUAAAAAAUAUUUCAUACGAAAGGUUAUGAUUAAUUUGUUAAAAAGAAAUAUAAAAAAAAAUCAUUCAUAUCCAUCUAUAAAUUUAAUUCUAUAAGCGGUUAUGAUUAAUUUGAUAAAAAUAUUUCAAAUAACAAAGAACGGCUGUAAUCAAUCUGUUAAAAAAUAUUAUUUCUUUCCAUCUAUUUUAUAUUAAAAUUUAAAUUUGAGUUUAAAUCGUGAAAAAAAUUUAAUUUUUGAUAUGAAAUUUGACUUAAUAGUUAAAAAAUUUUAAUUAUAUAAUGGAUCAAAAUUAAAUUUUAAAUUUUGAAAUAGAAAUCAAUUAAAUUUUGAUGUUUUUAGUUUAAAGCACAUACUUAAAUGUUAGAUUCAUAAUAAAUUUAAAAGUAUAUAAAAAUAUUUAAUAUAUAUAGAAAAGAACAAUAUAAAACAUUGCAAAUAUUUUUUAAUAAAAUAUAACAUAUAAAUUUAUAAAUUAUAGUUUUUAUUGUAAAUUUUUAAAUAAAUAUAAUGUACAAAUUUAUAUUAAUUUAAACUAACUUAAAAUAAUUAUUACGUGUUUUUGCAUGUAUACUCAACUAAGGCUUCGUUUGGGAUUGCGGAGAGAUUGCGUUACGUGCGGUGAGAAACGACGAUGGAAAAAUACCAUGUUUGUUUCCGUAUGUAAUAUUGCGUUCCGCAUAUCGCGAUGAGUAAGUACGAUAUAUUUUCUGCAGUGCUUUUUCUGUUACGAUAUAUUUUCUGCAGUCCCAACGGAGAACGCUGAAGCAUAUCCAUACAUACUUUUUCCUCAACUCCAUUUUAUCUAAUAGCGUUAGAUAGAUCUCAAUACCAAACUAACGCUAUUAGAUAAAAUUGAGUUGAGGAAAAAGCAUAUAUGGAUAUUCUUCUGCGAUCACCAGUGGGACAGCAGAAAAUAUAUCGUAACCGACUCAUCGGAUAUGCGGAAUGCAAUAUUACGUACAAAAAUAAACGAGGUAUUUUUACAACGUAUUUUUUUACCGUACGUAACGUAAUUUUUUUAUAAUUCCAAACGAAGCCUAAUGCUUAUCAAAAUGACUUUUUUCAGUUUUGGAGUAAGAGUCGAUUUAGGAUUCUUCCCACAUUUUUAGGUCAUAUUUUAAUGCAACGGCUGUUGUCAAAAGCGCUUCUCCUUCACGUGAGCUGGAAUGCCGCGUGGGCACCCCAGGCCCAGAUAUGUUGGAAAGGACGCGGAUUUUCUGCAACUGAUCUGUAUUCGUAAAUGUCGGCGUAAUCGAUCAUACUCAAUUUAGAAAAAAAAAAAGAAGUUAAAGUAAAAAUAUAAAUAGAUAAUUAUUUAUAUAUUUUUUAAAAUUUUGAAAAUAUUUUAUUUAUUUAUUUAUUUUUUAAUAUAACUUUCAUAUGUUCCUUCCUUAUUUUAAAAUAUCUCUACAGUUAUUAUCCGUUAAGUUAACUUGAGUUAAAUGUGGGUUAAAUAUCUAUUAGAGCUAAAAAAAAUUAAAAUGCCUCUUUUGUUUUUAACUUAAGGGUAAAUAAGGAAAGUCGGUGAUGGUAGAAUGGUAUGUAUGUUUGAAAUGGUAAAAUAGUAAUUUCAUACAGAUCACAAGUAUUGCUAACACGUUAUUAACAGAAUUUAACUCUAGAUAUGUAUUUGAAAUAGGUUGGAACGUAAAAAUGAAAAUUUCAAUAUUAGCCUUCUAAGAGAAAUAAAUCAGAAAGUCGGAAACUUUUUAAGAGUAUAUAAACAAUUGCCCCAAAUAUAAAAUAUUCUAAUAGCUUAAGUUUGUGGGUUUGGAUCUAAAUCUCUUAAUAAUUUUUCACAUAUAUAUAUAUAUAUAUAAUAUAGAAUUGAGCUUCUAUACCUUUAAAAAUAGUAAAUUAUUAGCGCUUGCAGGUUUUAGGAUUCAGUGAGUGGUUGAUUGAAUAGUAUACUGUAACGACUGAAAAUGGUUAAAAAAAUAAAUCUAACGGUGAAAAACUUACAAACACCAAAUACUUGAUGUUUUUAAAAAUAUCACAGCGGAACUCUCUCUCUCUCUCUCUCUCACCAUAUAUAGAGUUUUCUGUUGGAUGUAAAAUUUUAAAAUUGUACUGUAUAUUAUUUUAUUUGGUAUCAAAUAUGAUGUUCUAAGUUUGAAUCCGGCCGUCUGGCUCCUACUCCUAACUCCACGCAUACAUAAUUUUUAAGAUUUUGAAAAAUAACGAUAAUUUUUGCAUUAUUUUCAUAUUUCUUGAGUACUAUCAAGCAUAUUUCGUCGAAUAAUUAUAAUUUUGCAACAUCUAUAACAGGGUUAGAGGGCUUGCUUGGAAUUGCGGAAAAAUUACUUUACGAAUGAUGAAAAAGAACGAGAAAAAAAAGACUAUUUGUUUCUGCACAUAAUGUUACGUUCCGCAUAUCGCAAUAAAAAUAUCUUUUUUACAGUCCCACUAGAAAACACAAAAUCAUAUCUCGAUAUCUCCUGUUCCAACUUUUUUUAUCAAUUAAUAUUAGAUCGAUGAACAUCGAUACAAAACGAAAACAGUUGUUGGAUGGGAGGAGUGUAUUCCAAUUUUUUUUUUUCGCACGUGUAGCAUUUAAAAAAUAGCCCCCCCUCUUUUUGUUUUCUUUAAUUUUUUAAAUUUUUAAUUUCUUUAUUAUCACUAAUUUUCAAAUGCAUUAUACCAGAUUACCGGGAAAAGAACAAAGCGACACGUCAGCGUCGUAGAAGCCGAUCCAAAUUUUAUGACUUGUUUCAAUUAUUAUUAUUACUUCAUAAAUUCCUCGCCACGUAACUCAAUUGGUUUGUUCCAAUUUUUGAUUUGAUAGGAUUAGACCAAAUAACUAAAAGAAAUUAUUACAUGCACCCGGCGUAUUUCUCCAUCUGUGCACCACCCAUUUACUGGCGAUUACAAAUAACCAAGUCUCAAUAUAUUAUGGAUAUUCAGAUAAAUUUUACCGCACAACAUAAUAUAGUAGCAGCUUCUUUUUAUCACUUAAAUCGAAACAUCGGAUUCUGAAACAGAGAUAUAUAACUCGCGUUUUAGUGGAUGGUAUAAAUUGAAGUAUGGGAUGAAAUGAAUAGAUAGUGCACGAAUAUAUGAAUGCAUGGCGCGCAAUAAUUUUUAUGAAGUAGAGGGGGGAGGGGGUUUGGACUUGGUGUUUCUCUUUAGGUGGAUUCAGUGUAGGUGAUUCUCUCUCUCUUUCUCUCUCUCUCUCUCUCUUUCUUUCUUUAUAUAAGCCUCCAAAUUUGCGUGUUUCUCUCGAACCUCUCCGUUCUCUCGCGCUUCUCUCUCUCUCUCUCUCUCUCUCUCUCUCCAUUGUUGGUUGGUCACAAAAGAUAAGAGCUUUAAGGUAUUUUCUCUCUCCUCUUCUCUCCAUUUUAUUAAAAAGUAUGAGCUUUUUCUUACAAAUGAUGGACAAUACGUAAACCGCGCACAGUUUUUUGAUUUUUCAUAUCGUAUUGAUCCUUUUAUGAGAUAUAUAUUAUUUCUUUUGUUUUCCCUUUCAUUAAUACGGUUUUAUUUAUUGAUUUUGGAUUAGUUUUUUGUUUUUUUUUGGGCGAUAUUUCGGAGUAUGUGCAUAUAAGAAAGUAAAUAUAUACUUGGCGAUUAAAAAAGGAAUAAACAGUUGUGAAUUAUUCAUGAUAAGUUUUGUUUAAUUUAAUCGAUGAGAAUGUUCGGAAGUAAUUAAUAAUCUAGGUAAGAAGAUUCUAAUCUAAAGGUUUUCUUCUUUUUUUUUUUUUUUUUUUUUUUUUUUUUUUUAAUAUCAUCCCCGCACCAUAAUGUAAAAGUAAUCACCUUUACAUGCUUUUGGUGCCAUAGAAUACGCCCCUAUUUUUUUUGCUUUUGUACUAUAUAUGUUCACGUACUUAAUACUAAGUUAAUUACUAAGAGAGUUUUAAGUUAUUAACAAAUUAAUUAGAAGAUACUAUAAAGAGAAAAGGAAGUGAAAUUAGAGAUUCAUUGUAUAUAUGUAUGAAACAUGCAAUUAUUUGUGGCCCCAACUUAGAAAAAAAAAAGAGGUUUUUCUAAGUAUUAACUUUAUAGCCAUUUGUGCAAAAAUUCAUAACAUUUAAUAGCCACCUAUGUAGUUGUUAUCAACCCCACAUUUUUGAAUGAAUCAUUAGAACAACAAUUGGAUUCACACACACACACACACACACACACACACAAAUCACCUCUAACUUUGCGGCAAUUUCGGUAUUUUUUCUUCUUUUUUUUCUUUCUUUGCUAAUGUUGUUGGAUUCAAAUUACAAUGCUCACUCUAAUGCUUUUCUCUUUUUAUGUGGUUUGAAAAUUUGCACCAUGACAGGAUGCAUUGCUAGCGUCGGCGCGAAUCGCAGCUUCGAGCAAACGAAAUUUGAAUUCGCAGUUGCUGUUUAAGGGAGUUUCAAGUGAAAGGGAGAAGAUGGGUUUCUUCUCCCUGUUUCUUGUGGCAUCCAUGCCAAUUGUGCAGGUCCUGCUCAUAGGCCUGCUGGGAGCUUUUCUUGCUUCUGGUUACAGCAACAUUCUCACCGUCGGCGCGCGCAAGGACAUGAACAAGGUGACUUUUUUUUUGUAAAUUUUGUUCGCGGGUUUGUUCUAAAUCUUUCUCAAUAUUUCUCUUCUUUAUACCUGGUUCAAUCAAUAUAUAUAUAUACCAGGUUGUUUUCGCGGUGUUCACGCCGUCUCUCAUGUUCGCGAACCUGGCAAAGACAGUGACUCUCCAGGAUGCUAUCUCUUGGUAAUUUUCUAAGAUCAAAACAUGAAUUUCUUCUGUUUUUGGGUCAAUUUUUUGAUUUUGUUUGUCUCUUUUUAAGGUGGUUUAUGCCUGUCAACAUUGGGAUCAUAUUCUUAGUUGGUGGGCUUCUUGGAUGGGUGGCAGUGAAGAUCUUGAGACCACCCCAACAUCUCGGAGGCCUCGUCAUCGCUUCGUGCUCCGCAGGUAAAACAUUUUAGGAAAGAUUACGAUUUCGAUUACGUUUCUCGGAGUUUUAAUUUCGAUAAUUUAGUUCUUAUGAUAUGGCGCAGGAAACCUCGGCAAUCUACUGCUGAUAAUUGUUCCUGCUGUUUGUGAUGAGGAUGGGAAUCCAUUUGGUGGCGAGAGGAGCAUCUGCAGCGCCCGCGGGCUCUCUUACGCGUCUUUCUCGAUGGCGGUAAAAGCAGCUUUUUAAUCCAAAUUUUCUUUUGUGUUUUACAUGAUGUUAGUUGUGACAUUUGAAGCUGUAAAAUUUACUGAAAUGUUGUGCUUUUCAAUACUAUUAAUUUGCAGCUUGGGGGCUUCUACAUAUGGACACAUACAUAUAGUCUCAUGAAGAGAGCUGGAAAAUUGUAUCACAGGAACCUGCUAAGAAAUAAUUUGGUUCAAGAGAUUGAACACAAGGAUUCGUUCGCGAACGGGGAUUCGGGCAAGGCGGAGAACGGAGAGGCUGCGGUCGAUCAGGAGGCUUUGAUUCCGACAGCAGAGAAACCCGACGACGAAAGCCAACAAAACCAACUUGUAAGCUGCAGUUACUGAAAGUUUCAGAAUCUCAAAUUUUUGAAAGAAUUUGAAAGGCUGAUCAAAAAAUUCAGCCUCUAAGUUAUUCAUCCCUGAUUAGAUUUGAAACUUAAAUAAUUUUACAAUAGUUAUUGAAAGAUAAAGUUACCAUGUUAGCAAAUUGCAAGUAUGAUGCUGAUCUUACAGAAGAAUUUAACCUUUAUCUGAGCUUUUUUUGGAUGUUAUAAUGCAGGCGUUGCCGCUGUUGUCUAGUGACAGUAGUUUUAUGGGCAGUAAGAAGAACUUCUGGGACAAGCUCAAAGAAGGCACCCACCAGAUUGUUGAGGAAUUACUCGCACCGCCAACUGUUUCUGCUGUAUGUUCUUAUUGUAUAAGUUACAGUAAAAAUCGACUUUUUCUACCAAUGUAUAUGCCAAUUGUACUAACUUAGCUGCUAUAAAAACAAAACUUUUCAAAUCAGAUCAUAGGUUUCAUUGUUGGCGCAACGCCAUGGUUGAAGUCUCUAUUUAUCGGAGAUGCAGCUCCUCUUCGAGUUAUACAAGACUCCGUAAAACUAUUAGGGUAAUUUUUCGAUGUGGAUUGUUACAUUCUCUGUGUUUUUUUUUUUUUUUUUUUUUUUUUUCUGUUUAAGUUAUGGAAAAUAAUUUGUUCUUAUGAUUUCUCCCCCUAAAUGCAGGGAUGGCACAAUACCUUGCAUUACCCUCAUUCUAGGAGGAAACCUUACACAAGGUUAGAAACUCCUGCAACUUGUACACACAAUGUCACUUAAAAUUGUUUCUGAUCUAAGAUUUCAAUUAUGAUCAGGGCUUCGAAAGUCGGUCAUAAGGCCGGUGGAGAUCGCAGCCAUAAUCCUCGUGCGGUAUCUGAUCCUCCCAGUAAUCGGGGUCGCCGUGGUGAAAGCGGCUUACGAAAUCGGAUUCCUACCGCAAGACCCGCUGUAUCGAUACGUGCUGAUGAUACAGUUCACUCUCCCCCCUGCAAUGAACAUUGGUAAGAGAAGCCUCAUCUGAACACUCUCACUUUAAAUUCUGCAAUUUAUCAUCAGUUUUGAAUCUGAGGAUCAUGAUCUUAAAACUCUGACGACACAAUAUGGUGCAGGAACAAUGGCUCAGUUGUAUGAUGUUGGUCAAGAGGAGUGCUCUGUGAUCUUCCUAUGGACUUAUUUGGUCGCGGGGGUCGCGCUCACUGCUUGGUCGACCGUGUUCAUGUGGAUAUUGUCGUAGAAUUAUCGAUCGAAUCGGUCGCGCCGAUUACUAUUUUACUCCCUACAUACAUAUACAUUUUUUGCAUUGUUGUGAUUUGGAAUGUCAAAAGAAGGGCAAAAAAGUGGAAGCAUAUUACUUGCAUGGUAGAGGCCCUGUAGUAAUAUGUAAAAUGGCCUGGAAUUGCUAAGAGUUUAUUAGGAUAUUAGUUGUGCAGCAAUGGUUAUACAAGUUUAUAAUUCUUUAUGUAUCUUAGAAAUUUUGUCUUUUAUAUAUAUAUAUAUAUGUUAUAUGUUGUUCAUAUUGUAUUUUGUUCUCAAAGACAUGAACAUGCAAAUUCAUAGAGAGUAUUUCAUAAGCUCAUGUAUUUCUUAUUUUACCUUUGAGGGAAAGCAGGAGGAAACUAAAUAUCAAAACAACAAACCAUGCACGAUAAUCUAAAGUUUCGUUUGGAAUUGCAGAAAAAUUACAUUACGUAUGGUACAAAUACGACGAAAAAUAUACAUCAUUUGUCUUGUAAAUAAUAAUAUAACACUGCACUUAUAACAAUGAGUCAGUUAGAAUACAUGCAUAUGUAAGUAAGAUAACGUGUAGUAUCAGGCGAGCCCAAAGAAUUAAUGUAAAAUAAGAGGUCCGUCCCUUUCUCUUUUUUUUUUGAGAGUGAUGCUACAUUUCAUUUUAGUUACUCGCCAAAAAUUGCACGGAACUCCUUUUUCUUUUUCUUUUUCUUUCUUUUUUUUUUUUCAGUUGCCCAGACCAUAUCAAAGGAGAUACUUAGAUACAUUGGAACUUCGAUUUUUCUACGUAAAUUCUAUAUGAUGGAGUAUACAACAGUUUAUCCUCCCUGCGCAUUUAAAUAGAAAAUUUUUGUUCACAAAAGUUGAAAAACUAACAAUACCAUCUCUCAAUAUAUAUACAUAGAGAGAUACAGAGAUCUCUCAAUAUAUAUACAUAGAGAGAGAUACAGAGAGAGAGAGAGAGAGAGAGAGAGUUGAGCUGUAAUACUUUUAAAAGCACGGGAGUUCAAUAGACUUGUGAUUUUUUUUUUUUUUUUUUUUUUCUGUUGGAUCGUCUCAAAAUCCGCACAGUACUAGCAAAAGAGAUUUAAUGGGACCAACAGUGAUGCAAACAUUUAAAAAAAAAAAAAACCCUACAAAUCAUCUCCAAGUGCAAGAGACAUUGCGACGAAAGCUCCGCGAGCUCUUAGAACACUCAUAGUGACACAACAACAACAGCCGCCGAUGUAGAAAGCCUCGAAAAAGAUCACUGUCACUGAAUCUAUCAAACUUACAAUCUCAUCCGAGGAAUCUCAAUCUAAAGCAGAUAUGUGGGACGCAACAAUGCUACAACUUAAAAAAUAUUGUGGAGAAUAAGUAAGAGCAACCUCAUUACAGAUUAUAUGUUAGUGACCAGUUAGGAUAAGCAAGAUUAGUUAAGAUAAUUGAGUUACAGAACAUAACUUUUGGGUUUUAAAUAAGCUUGAGAAACUAAUUUGCUUAAGUUAUAUGACCAGGAUAAGUGAGUACAACACCAACAAUCACUUUUACUCACCAUGGUUUUGGAUUCUCCAGAAGGAAACACUUCGCCGAAUCACAAAGCAGUGAUAACCAUCAUUUUUCUCUCCACACCAUUUGGAUUCCUAAUUACUUCUCCAAUACAAACUACCCCUGGUGCAACAAUAUAGGCUUUUGGCUUAGAUCCAACCACAAAAGAUAUUACAAGUUCAAUGACUCAAAAAAUAACAAGCCCCAUGAAUAAACUCUUCCAAGUUUGUGAAUGCUCUACAAUGAGAAGUUAACAUACCCAGCAAGCCAAAACAGUCUCAAGAAAAAGGAAGGGUGCAAUUUCCAGACACUAGCAAUUUCCAAAGCAGACCAAUAGAAGUUUCAAAAUGAAAAGUGAUACAUUUUCUCAAUAUCAAAACAAAGUGAUAAAAGGUUUUAAGCGCGAAUUAAAGCCUUUUUUUUAAAAAAAAAAAAGCCGUUUCAUGUUUCUCCAAGGUAAUGAUUUAAUCUGAGAGAUCUUUUACGGUUAACACUUCACCAGAUGCAGGAAGAUACCUGGAAAAAUAAGUAAUCCUAAAUUGAAUGAAUCAAAGAGCUUCUAAUUCCAAGCAUCAAAGCUACUGACAACUGGGGAAGAUAAGAUGGUCGUCACAACAGGUUUGCAAGGAUUAAAGCAUUGACUCGAGAAAAUUAUUGGAAGCAAAUACAACAAGAACAAUCAGACCACUAGUUCCUCUCCUGCCACUCAUGCUAAUUUCCGCAAACAUCUCUUAAAACAGUAACGAGUAGAUAAGACAAUCAUUGCAACCAAAGUCCAACAAGAACAAAAUCAAUAAACAAAGUUCAGUUAUCCUAGAAAUAAUUGAACUAGCUCUGAGAUCUUCAGCUUGGUUGAUCUCUCUCUGAUAGGAUAAAAAAGCCAAACAGUUUAAACAAGUAGUGAGCCUCUGUAGCAGCACGAAGGAGGACAAAGAGUGCGCUGCGCUACUACUGAAAUGUCUCCACCAGCAUCUGCAUAUCUUUUCUGGUGAAAACAUGGAGCAAUUCCAGCACAGGUUGUAGAGACUACUAGUGUGGUCAUUUAAAAUCUGCAAGUAAAAGCCAAAAGUGCUUUACGCACAGCAGAAACCACGAUAUGGCACAGCAAUUGCCCAGAGAAGUAAAGAAAUGUAAUCAUCACAAGAAGCGUUUAUGAUGAUAUCACAGAUGAUCUCCAUAACAGCCAAGAUGAGAUCUGAGUUAUCGAUUGUCAUAAACCUUCCACAGUUGAUUUUCGAAUCAAGGAAAAUAGAUAUAAUAUCGAUUGUCAUAAACCUUCCACAGUUGAUUUUCGAAUCAAGGAAAAUAGAUAUAAUUUGAAUGAACAGCCAGCAUAAAUUGUGAAAGAAAAAACGAUGAUGUGGUUUGAAGCAUUCAUCCAUGCAAAGAUUCACUAUUUUAAGGAACUUAAAAAGCUUCCCGUGUAUAAAAAAAAGGGGUUCGCUUAGCCUAGCAACAUUAUUCGCAACAGAAGAAGCAUUGAACAUAAUAGUGAGUAUGUUGACAGUCAGAUCUGAUGUUGAUGGACAAUUUUCAGAAGUCACGGCUCAUAUUUCUACAAUUGUGUAUCAAAUUUAUUCUCAACCAAAAUGGCCCAAUACGAAAAAUAACAGUUCUUAUGUAGCAUCCCAGAUGCUCCUCACACGCUUACUCAUCAAAAGUUCAGCAAGAAUAAGCAAAACAUUUAUUUGCUAAAUUCUUCAGAAAAGCACUAGAUUUUCUGCAUUGAUAUCGACUACAGAGGCAAUGGAGAGGUUCUUCUGUGUAAGAAUUCAGCAGUUCAUAAGAAACUUAAUAUUCAUGAUUUAUGAUAAUUGUUCACUGUAAUAUAGUCAAACGAAGUUAGUGAUCUGCCGAGUUACAUUCCCUCUAUUCCUAUUUAAACCAUACAAGAUAGUGAGUUGUAUAUAUACACACACUUUAUAGGCAACUUGGAUUGUUAUAAGCUCAUAUUAGAAUCUCCAAGUGAAAUUCUCAAAUGUAGACAUGCACAUAAGUUGCGAGUAUCAUAAACAUUAUCAAUCGUGAGUAGCAAAACAUUAGACGAUUCUCGCAUAAGUUCACGCAAAAGAGAACAAUUAUUAGCAUAGAAAAGCACACAGCAGGAGAUUAAGAUUAUGAGUAACGAGAACGAAAGACAGAAAGAUGGAAAGCGAAAAAGGAAGCACCUUUUACUCCACACUGCUGCUGAUUACUCUCGCCCCGACCCUGUCGAGGCUCGCGACCGUCGCGGUCGCAUUCAAUCCCCCUUCCCUUGAGAAGGCCUCCACCAUCCUCUCCCCGAUCUCCCGCCCCUUCUCCUCGCCGUCGAUCACCGCCACGGCCGUGGGGCCGGCGCCGCUGAUCGUGCAGCCGAAGGCCCCCGCCGCCACCGCCGCGGCCUUCACCGCGGCCAUCCCGGGGAUCAGCGGCGCCCGGCGCGGCUCCACGAUCGCGUCCGAGGACAUCGCGGCGCCCAGGGCCCGGGCGUCGCCCCGCGCCACGGCAGCGACGAGCGCCGCGGCCUGGCUCGCGUUGCGCACGUGCUCCUUCAUGGAGACGCCGGCGGGGAGCGCGGCGCGCAUCUUCUUCGUGGGCGCCUCGAACGCCGGGCUCGCGAGGACGAAGAAGAGGUCGCGGCCCGAGGGGAACUCGAGGGGGACGAGGUCGAGGGGGUCGUAGGAGCGGAUGAGGACGAAGCCGCCGAGGAUGGCGGGGCCGACGUUGUCGGCGUGGUAGCCGCUGACCUUGGCCUCGGACUCGAGCCCGGCGAGGACGAGGUCGGCGGGGGAGAGGGGCCCGCCGAACAGGGCGUUGACGGCGACGGCCGCGGCGGCGGCGGAGGCGGCGGAGGAGCCGAGGCCGCUGCCGAGGGGGAGGCCCUUGACGAGGCGGAGGGAGAGCCCGACGGAGCGGACGCCGAGCAUGCGCAUGGCGGCGGCGGCGGCGAUCCCGGCGCAGUUGCGGAGGGGGUCGCGGGUGAGCCUGGAGGGGCCGGAGGAGGAGGAGGAGGAGGAGGAGGAGAUGGAGGAGAUGGAGAGGGUCCCGGGGGGGACGGAGGGGUCGACGGAGACGGUGACGGUGUCGCCGAGGGCGUCGACGGCGACGCCGAGGAAGUCGAAGCCGGGGCCGAGGUUGGCGACGGUGGCGGGGGCGAAGGAUGUGAGGGAGCGGAAAAGGGGGGAUGGCUCCGACUCGGCGGCGACGGAGGAGGCGGCGGAGGUGGUGGCUAGGGUUUUGGGGAACGAGGGUNACGUUCAUUCACCUACGGUGCACCUGACCUGGACAGAGAAAAAAAGUAAACUCCUCAGCAAAUGUUAGCUGAGGUGCCAAAAAAAUAAAAAAAUAAAAAAAACAAUCGCGAGAGCAGAGAUGCGAAGCGAGCUUUACCGCCGACGCCGCCCCUGCCGAAUAUUCUGGAGCGGCAAUGGAAGGUUAGUGUCGGCAGGUGCAGCGCGGCUAGGGGUGGUGGAGGGCACGAAGAGGUGGCAGGCUAAGAGGAGGAGAAGAGGCAGCAGCAGCAGCAGCAGCAGCAGCAGCAGGGGCUUUGGGAGCAAGGGGUUUUGGGAUCGGUAAAUUGGUGCAUUAAAUUAAAAGGGUAAAUUUCAAAUACCAUUCAGAUGCUUUUAUACUUUCUCACUUUAAUAUUCUUGAUUUAAAAUGUAUCAAUUUAGUAUUUUAGAGUUUUAUUUUUAUUUUUUUAUUAUUAAUUUUAUUAUUUUUUUAUUAAAUCAGUGACAAAAUUAAAACUAAAGAGUACGAAAGUGAAUAUUCGAUAAACCUGGGUGGGGUAUCUGAAGUUUUUUUUAUAAAAUUUAACAAACUAUUAAUGAAAAAGUUAACGAAAAGAUUAAAAUAAAAUCACAGAACACUAAUCUGAUAUAUUUUAAACCACAAAGUACUAAAGUGAGAAGUGGAAAACUACCGGAGUUGUUUUUGAAGUUUAUCCUAAAUUAAACUAGCGUAGACUCCCGCAGAAUGCGAUGGAUAAAAAUUUACAAAAAAAAAAAAAAAAAAAAACUAUAAGAUGUGCAUAAAAAAAAUUACCAUUUACCAAUGCAAAAUUAUUUUUUUUUUAUCAUUUACCAAUUCAAAAACAAAAAAGAAGAGGAGAUGAAGUGAGAUUUAUAUAUAGUGAAAAAAUUAAUAUUAAUAUCUCAACUAAUAAAGAAUGACAAUUUUAUAAAUUUCAAGAGUUUAGAGAGCCAAACAAAAUAAUUAAAACUUUAGAGAGACUACAAAAAUUUCUCUCUAAAUUAAAUUUUUAUAAAAUAUUUUAAAAGGUUAUGAUAGCUUUCUACUUAAAUUAUCCUUGUAAAAUACAAAAAGUAUGUAAUUAAAAUUUUGAUUAUCAAAAACCUAUUCAAAGUUAAGUGUUUUUUUUAUCUAAUAAAAUUUUAUUUGUAAAAAUCAAUAAUUCAUAUGGAAGAAAAUUUACAAAUGAACAUAUUUAUAAAAAGCCAGUUAUAAAAUAGAGGGGCACUUUUUGAACUUAUUUUUUUAGGGAACUCUAAUAACUCUAUUUUUGCAGUGUUUCUCACUUUUUUUUAUUAGAUUUUAAAAUUCUUUUAAGUAUUUUUUAUUUUUACUUUGUAAAAUUGCUUUGAAAAAAUAUAAUAUAACAUGCACUAAAGAAUAUAGUAUAAAAAUAGAGUUUUUUUUUGUGCACUUACAUUUGUUUUUAUCCUUCUGUAGGAAUUAACCUAAAAAAAUCAAUAAUAAAUUAGAGAGAAAUAAUUUAAAAGUUAAAAUAAAUACUUUAUAAUUGAACUCAUAAGAUAAAAUUAGUAGAGAACAAAAAUCAAAAGAAAAAAAUAACAAUUGCUUUACUAAUUAACAAUAGAAACUGCUGAAUUAAAAGUAGAAAAUAAAAAAAAAAAAGAAAAUGCAGUUUGAGAGAGAAAGAGAAAGUAUUUAUUUUAACUUUUAAAUUACAGGAUUAAAAAAUUUUAGGAAUUAUGAGAUAAGAUGCAAUAAUUUUAAGAAGGUGAGAGAUCUCAUAAAUAAGAGUUAUUAAAUAAGGUGUAGCAUUAAAUUAAAUUAAAAAUUUGUUAGGAAGAAUUUAAUGAGAAAAGAUUUUGUAAUUUGAAAAGGCAUGUUAACUUUAUAAGAAAAAAAUAUGGUAAUUUAGUGAGUAAUUGCCAACCCAUUGAACUUCUAAAGUUAAUUUAUAAAUAAAAAAUAACUAAUUAGGAAGAAUUUAAUGAGAAAAGAUUCUAUAAUUUGAAAAGGCGUGAUAACUUUAUAAGAAAAAAUAUGGUAAUUUAGUGAGUAAUUGCCAACCCAUUGAACUUUCAAAAUUAAUUUAUAGAAGAUAAUUAUUAACCAUUUGAGGAGUUCAAUAGUCUUGUACAUUGUAAUUAUAAUACUAUAUUAAAUAGUAACUUUUGCUUAAGAAAUAUUAAUUAGAGAGAUAGUAGAUAGACCCCAAAAAAAAUUCAAGAAAAAUAAGGUUAGAAAAAAAAAAUCAAAAAAUUGAGGUUACGCCACGUCACCUCUUGAUAUUGGGGAUUAAUAGAGAGGUAUAGAUAGAUAGAUAAAUUAAAUUAAAAAUUAAUUAGGAAGAAUUUAAUGAGAAAAGAUUCUAUAAUUUGAAAAGGCAUGUUAACUUUACAAGAAAAUUUAUGAUAAUUUAGUGAGUAAUUGUCAACCCAUUGAACUUCCAAAAUUAAUUUAGUGACCAUUUGAGAAGUUCAAGUACAUUGAGGUUAUGCUACGUUACCUCUAGAUAUUGGGGAUUAAUAGAGAGUUAUAAGAUUAUUAUUAUAUAAUUUCUCGCAUUUCAGAUAAUUAGAUCUGGAACGGGCUAAAUUUCGGGCCAGAUCCACGUCUGAACCAAAUUGACCGGGUCGGACUUUUUUUAUUAAGUUUAUAAUAUGUAGAUUAAGAUUUGUCAAGUUGGUAACUUAUCUAAAUUUCAAUUUUGUUUUUCAAACCUUAAUUUAUUAUAAUUUUUUGCUCGAAUUUUCUAAAUUAUUGGUAUGAUACUAUUGUGGUUAACGACGUGAUAACAACUACAAUGUCAGAUCAAAUUUUACGAGGAACUCAAUUACAACAUUUCAAAAAGUUGAGCCAAGAAAUUACAACAAUUUAAAGUUUGAGAGCCCAAUGUGUAAUCUAGCAUUUAUCAUUCAAUGUUAAACAUCGCUGGAAACCCAACCCUUUCACUGAGAAGCACUAUAAAACUAAACAAUACAUUUGAAUUUACAAUGCAAGUUUGAAAGGCUUGGAACUAAACAAUUUAUCCAAAACAUUUUGUAAUACAAAGCAGUAUUGUGAAAAUGAACAACAAAGGACAAACUUUGGCAUAAGAGAAUCACUCUAUUGCCUAUUGCCCUAUUUUCGCGACCUCAACCAACUCAGAAGCCACAUUUCCUUUCGUGAAAAUAUCACCAAUUAUACGCCGAUCGGUCGAUGAUGAUGCAUACCAAGCUAUAGUUUCUCAACUCCUCCAAGCAGAAGAGAACUCCAAAUCAGUGUCCUCUUCCCACCAUGUAGCAUUCUGCAUUUAUCGAUACACAUUCUACAAUUUAAUGGCUAAAGAAGAAUGUAUAAAUUAAUAUGCACGGCGUGCUUCAGAGAAUUAUAGUGGUAUCAGUACAAAUUAAAGUUGUUAACCGAGUACUAGUCAUUACACAAAAAGGGGUUACUACAGUUGACUUGCAUCAUUAAGGGUAAAUUGCACGAGCAAUCCGAGAACCGACCUGAUAUUGCAACUUGGCCCUUGCAAUUUUCAUUUAAAUACAUUAGUAAUGGAAGUGGAAAAAUGGAAACUUUUAAUAGAGAAUUGCCAUUCAGGGACUAAAGUGCAAUAUAUAUGAAAGUCCAGGUCCUAAGGCGAUAUGAUACACUAAGCUGACUCUUAACUCUACAAACCAAGUUAAAUUGAUGAUACAAGACGCAAUAUGUUUAUCAUUCAACUCAAACAAGGAGAGAAAGAUUUAUGAGAAGUUUUGAACCUUGUAUCCCCUUCUGAGAAAUUCCAAUGAGCUCCCUCGUUCUUCUUGCAAUCCCAGAACCCUUAAAAGUUCUUCUUUAGUCUAAACAGGGGGAAAAAAAAAAAAUCAGUACAAGAACAUUAGAUUGGUUUAUAUGAUUCAAGUAAAUUAUUACCUCUCCCAAUGUAAAUCUAGCUGCGCUUUCUGCAACACAAGCAUAGGAACCAUCAGCCUGUUUAAGCAUGACUUGCCAAGGCCCUGCACAGUACAGUUAUAAAAUGAAUGUAUGUAUAUAUUAAUUUGUCAUUUAUUUGUUGAGGAAGUUGCAAGUCAUAGGAAAAUAAGAAAGCAUGCCUCAGAGAGAGAGAGAGAGAGAGAGAGAGAGAGAGAUUAAAAUUUUAACAAAAAAACCUCAUGAACUAAGUAUACUUAUGUAGUUUGAAAACUUCCCACGCCAUUUAAUUGAUGUAGACCAAUUCUUAAGAAGAAAAUUACGUCCUAGAAUAAUUGUUUGCAAAACCGAAGGUUCUGGUCAACACCGAGUUUGGAGUAGAUACAAUUACGUCCUAGUAUAAUUGUUUGCAAAACCCAAGGUUCUGGUCAACACUGAGUUUGGAGUAGAUACAUCACACGUUUACACCCAAGGACACAAUCAUUUGCUUUACUAUUUUAUAAGGAAAGCAAUAGAGUUUGGUGUCUAUCGAAGGACUAUUAUAAUAAAAUAUUUCAGGAAGAGAAAUUUAGAGACUAAAAUUAACCACGCAGAAGCACUUGCAUGAUAAUAAGGAGAUUAUACUGUAUGCUAUGCAUGUCAAGUUCUUACCUGGGAACCGACGGAAUAGAGCACCACUAUAGUUCACAAUGAAGGGUGCUACUGGAACUGUCUUAAACACAAGGAAAAUAAAGAUUUAAUUGACAUUAUGAUAAGAAUAAGUAAAUAAAAAAAAGCUAGAGAUACCUUGGAGUACUCUCUUGUUCGAAUGUAGAAUACAGGGAUAAACUGAGAAAGAAAGCGGUAAUGCAAAUCUUUGGUGGGAAAUCCUAGUAGGCCCAAGUCAGAGCUGCAAAAUUGAAUUUUUAUCCCCACAAUAAGGUCAGAAUCAUGAAAAUACGAAGCACAUUGUGACAAUUUGGUCAGGAAGAAUAAAUAAGACAAACCGUAAGGUGUCUAGUUCGAGGUUAAAAAGAAGAGCUGGGACAGAUGAAGCAAAAUUGUCCUGCACAAGAAAAGGCCAACAAAAAUUGCUUUAGUAACAGAAAUUAAAUUUUUAAAGAACAGAAUUACAAGAACAUUAACUAAUCUUUCUAUGCCCAAGAAAAUACUCCCUCAGAAGUACCUUUCUCUUCUCUCUCUCGUUUUUUUUUUCUUUUUUUUUUUGGUNGGGGGGGGCGGGGUUGGGGGUUGGCGGGGGGAAUCAACUACCCUUAGCGGAUACAAAGAUUUCAGACGCGCUGCUUAACUGUAGUUGUGUUAAAAGAGACCGAAGCAACUAUUUUUAAGGAUCCUUUUGUCCACAAACAUGAAUUUUCAUGCAAACCAUAAUAUGACAACAUCCACAUGUACUAUAAAGUAGCUUCUUCAACAUGUUUCAAUUCUUGUCCAUAUUAUGGUCUAAGAAUUGCAAUGAUGACAGCACAAGAGAAGAUUGUAUUGUAUGCAAUAAUUUUCCACACAUAAAUACAUAAUAGAAAAGUUUUACUCACUUCUAGGAACCUACCACAUACUUCUCUAUAGUAGAAAGAUCGCGUGUACUACAAUUGAUGAAGAUAUACAAUGAUGGUGGUUCAUCAGACUUCCAACGAUCUGCAUUUAUUAAGUAUGGAUAAAUCUUAAUUAGUCUAGUCACACCUAGCAAAAGGUCUCAGAUCCUAAUUCUUAACUUUGUUAUUCUUGCUAAAUAUCUUUUUUAGUAAAUAAUGAAAUGAGAGGUGCUACCACAUUUUUUUUCUUCUUCUUGUCAUACAAGAAAGGUACAUAUAGUGUUUGCAAAUAGUACAAACAAUAAAAAGACAAUGGGAAACCAUAACAAAGUGCCUUUGAAAAUAUAGAAAAAGGAGAAAAAGAAAACGUAAACAAUGUCAAAUAAGCACAUAGGUUUUUCACAUGAGAUGAAAACUGACCUUCAUUUUCAUCUGCAAAAUCAAAAUCCAACGUUCUUCUCACAGAUUUGAAGAAAUUACUCACAGGCCCGCCAGGUAUAUCAUCCAAAGAAGCAAUAGUUACACCACCAAUCUAAAAUAAAAAAGAUAUCUUUAAAAUAUGAAAAUUUCUAUUGCGAUACUGUAUCAAAAAUGGAAAAAAAACAUUUAACUACUGUAUCAUAUGUAACUGAAAAGAAAAUAAUCAAAAACUGAUAAUCCACUGUCACAUCAAUUGAACAUGAUGAUUGUUACUCUGAAAGGAAAUCAUACUGUUUCAAGAGCUGUCCGAAAUAACUGAGAAGCCCGGCGCUUUUCUGGCUGAUCAGGAAACACCUAAAUCUCAAUCAACAAAAGAAUAAAAAUGCCAACGAGGACGAGUUACUUAUCAUUAUGAAAUAUAGUAAUAUUCAGUUAUUUGUGAUAAUUAUGUUUAUGUCACAUGACUAAAAGAAUCAUAAUCUGUUGUGAUGUUCAUCGGCCAUUUACUUUUUCAUGCUUUUACAUAAGGCAACAAUAGUUAUUUUUGUCCAUACAAAAUAAAAAUAAAAAGCUUUCCACUUACAAUGCAAGACCUGAUUCCUUUCAUCUCUUGCAAGUUCCUUACUAUUGCAAGGGCCAGCUGGAUAUUAGCAUCAAUAAAUUCAUCUGAAGAACCCUGCAGUAAAUAGGAAGCAUAAAAAAUCGAAUUCUACAGUUGUUUUUUAUUUUAUGCCUAUAUUUUUACCAAGCAUAAUAUGAAGCUUUCACUGAUUAAUUUCAUCAAUGAUAUGAGAGAGCAUCUCUUAACAAUGUUAAGUACUCAUAAUAAAAAACUUCUUGAUUAGAAGAAUUUGUUCAAGUUAAUUUACCUUAAGAAUAUUGAAGGUUGUAACUAGGUAUUUUCGAGAUUACAAGCAAUGGAGGUAACCAGUGUGUAGCAUUAAUGAAUAAAAAUUAUUCAACUGGGAAACAUCCAAGAUGUUACACAUUGGGUUUUUGAACAUAUGCGUCCAUGCUACAAUGUCUACCUUGUGAGAUUACCACCAUAGCGAGUGCCAAGUGAAGAGAAAAUCCAUUUACACUAGUAAAAUUUAACAUUAGUUAAUUGUGGUUUCAGCCAUCAGAUUCCCAACAUCUAUUUAGCUAAAUAAACAUUGAUACUAAAGAUCAUGAAUAAAUUAUAAAGAAUCAUAGGUACCUUGUAAGAAGAUAUAUUGCUUGGUAAGGGCCUGCAUACACAUCCAAUUAAAACAUGAAAACGGAGAAAAAAAUUUAAAAAGCAAAGAUCAGAAGAAAUAAAAAUGACAAAAAUCUCGAGAAAAAACAUUCUCUGCUGUGAAAAAGCAUUAAAAAUAAACAAAAAUCCAGAUUGAAGGAAAGAUAGAACCUUUAAUCAAUUAGCAUUAAAAGAAAAGCUUCUACUCCAUGUAUAGCUCCAUUAUAGUUCAAACAAAUCAAAGAACGAUUCACAGAAUUUUCUUCUAUAAACCAAUCAUUAAGCUAAAGGUCAAUCCAAGCAACAUUUACAAGGCGAAAGAGAACUGAAACUAACAAUAAAUUGAUCCAAAUGCUGUCAAAACGCAAAAAAAAAAAAAAAGGAGAAAAGGAUAGAGAUGAGGAAUUAGGGCUAAUCAAAGUAUAGCCCCAUUAUAGUUCAAAUCAAAGUACGAUUCACAAAUAUUUUCUUCUAUAAACCAAUCAUUAAGCUUAAAGGCCAAUCCAAGCAACAUUUACAAGGUGAAAGAGAACCGAAACUAAUAAUAAAUUGCUCCAAAUGCAAACAAAACGCAAAAAGUUAGGAGAAAUGGAUAGAGAUGAGGAAUUAGGGCUAACGGGAACUCGAUCUCGAGACGCGUCUUCCCAUCGUCGAGGGCGUAGACGAGGGACCGCGCCGCGUCGGCGACGAGGACCUCGUACGACCGGGGCUUGUACACGGCAACCCCGGCCCUGGGGUCGAUCCCGAAGGAGGCGCCAUCUGAGCGCUUCGCGAGUGGCUUCAACGGCGGAGCGCGGAGCGGGCGCGAGGGACGGGGAGGAGAAGGGCGGAGGAGCGGGGAUCGGUGGAUAUGGAGGAGGAGAGGUGGAGUGCGAAGGAGGUGAGCGGAGGAGCGAGAGGAGGAUGGGGGAGCGGAGGAGAAGGACGAGGAGGAGAGCGAAGAGGACGCCAUUGGCGAAGGAGAGAAGAGGACGAGGGUAAAGGGAUAAGCGUUCGACGAAGAUGAACCGUUGGAAAGGGCAUGUGCGACGGAGCGGGAAAAUGGGCGGUCCGGUUCGACCGGGUUCAGUUUCCUCCGGUCCGGUCCGGUCCGGUCUAUUGGGUUAGCAACUUAGCAUUUCUCUUUCUCAUCAAAUUUCACCUCAUACCACCCUACACAAUGCUGAGAACAAAAAGAGUCACAAAUGAGGAUCUUUGGCAAGCACAUAUUCCCUAGACAGAUACUGCUUUUGGGUUCUGGGUAUCUUACAUUCCUCUCCAUUCAUACUCUACUAUGUUGUGCUACACCUUAAUCAUAUUCAGAGUACUCUUUUAUCUUCAAACAAUCCUCUUAUUCUUCGCCGUUUGUCGUCGAAAACACGCAGGCUCGUCUUCUUAGGAGCCACCACAUACGACGUGCACUGCUCCAUCAAGAACAACGAGAAUCCCCCCACGAAGGAACAAAUUGAAGCGCUCGAGGAUUACCUCCGAUCCAAGAGGCCCCCUCCCCCUCCCGCCUGAAUCAUUAGCCAUGUAAAGUCCUCUACUUGAUGUCGAAUCUUUUCGCUAUCUGCUUAAAUAAGUGUUUUUACGUGUGAAUGUGAAUGCUCAUGACAAGUGUUUGAUGAUAUUCCUCAGUGAACCUCCUUACUGAUCUGGAGCUCACAUUGUUGUAUUGUGGUCUAGUAGUUAUAAUUUUUAGGAUAAUAGCAUUCAAUCUACAAAUGAUUGGGCAUAUCAUUGUAGGUAUCUAAUCAUUCUCCGUCUACCAACUGCUGCAAGAUUCUCGAGUAAACAAAAGAGCUUCGCAAUGGAUGAUGUCUAAGCAUCCGAACAGACAUUAAGAGUUUAAAAUCCAUUUGAACAAUCUAAAUGGCUAUUUGAGAUAGGGAACUUAGCGAUGAAGUUUUACAAAAUGGCAUGUACCUUGGAAUAGUGUUUCGCUGCCUUGCGAAGAAGUUAAUAUCUGAAUUUGAAUAGGAGAGAAACUUUUCCUCGAUUAGCUUCCCUGUAAUUUAUCUUGAAACUAAGCAAACCAUACCAAAGUUUCAUAAUUACCUUAUCCCACACAAAUCGUUUAUGUGUAACUAUUCUAUAUCCUUACGAAAAAACCAAUCAAGGGUUUCUGGGGUCGAAUCCAGAGAAAAGGCGGUUCUAAGAAAAUUCUUACAAAAAGGAUUAAAUCCAGAUAUAACGGACUGAGUUGAUCAUUAUCAUGAUCAACUGAGCCUCCAAAUAACACCCAACUGAGGCUCUGAAUACUUCCUAAUUUUAUGUAGAAAUGAUCAAGUUAUACAUCGUUACAUGGAUAUAUAGAGAGGAACUAAAUGUGAGAAAUAAAUCAUGUGAUGUAGCGGUGAUUUAGCACAAGAUCGCAUACCAAAAAAGUUAACGAAGUCAUAUUCCCUGUGGACCAUGUUACACUUGUUCCUUCUCACUCACUAGUUAUAAUACCCCUACUAAGCUACCGGAUUUGCUCAAUUCCACUACUAUAUCUUGUCACCUAUCCAUUGAGAAACAAAGCUUUAUACGUCACUGAUACAUGGCUGUACAGUGGAAAUGGAAAUUCUCUGCUCUAACUCAGGCUUUUCGAUAAGCUCGACUCCUUCACAGAAUAAGGUGGAAUUAGUGACCUCCCAUAUGCUAUAGGUAGCGCCAUUAACUUCUUUGCUUUGCUAACAUACGCCCUCUUUGUGAAGUUAUUGUAGUCAUUUGCCUCAAUCUCGUCAAGGAUCUGCCGAUAAAGUAAGAGAGAAGCCCACACCUGCAACACAGCAUGCAGUAGCCCUGAAAGAUUAGCUCAUAAAACUUAUUAGAUUUUGCUAACUAAGAAUCUGUGGCAUAAUAUGAUCGGCACGGUGAUCCUUUAUAUUAUCUAAGAAUUCUUUGGAGAAAACCAUGAAUUCAUCUCAUUCUUUAGAAAGCAUGCUUCACAACUUCAUCUGUUACUGUCACUUUUGCUCUCCUUUAUCUCUAUAGCUUCUUCCAAUGAUUAGCUUGCUAUGAUUUCCGCUGUUCCUUUCAAAUCUCUGGACAUUCUAAUUUUAUCAAGCUUUCAUACUAGAAUUAUUCUUUUAUUCUCGUGCGUGUGUGGCACUUGUUUAGAGCUUCUUUAUCUAACCUGCAAAUUAGAUUACUGAUGUAGAUUUUCUAAGUGCAUUAGACCAUAUCUGUGUUAACAGACAAUAAGAAUUAAAAAUAACUCACGAAUGUGGCGUUAUUAUGUCAUAUUCAAUGAAAUUGUAAAAACUGAAUUUUCUAUUAGAUUUAGGUGAAGCUCUACUGUCUAUGAAAAUGCAUAACGGUAUCAAUCUAAGAUAAAAGAAAAGAGUAUUGAGACUUACUGGCCACCUACUAGCUUGACUGAGCUCAGUAACGCCUUUCUCUGCUUCUUGGAAGAACAUCCUGGCUCUCUCAAUUUGGCUUCUCAUGAAGCCCCUCCAUUUAUCGUUCACCCUUCCAUUGAAGAUAUCCUCGUCCGAAAGCCCAUACUGUGCGAGCUCGUCUUGCGGCAGAUAGAUCCUACCUCUUCUCGCACUGAGAAAUCAAAGUUUAGGGACUCGAUUGCCAGAAAAAGAAAUCCUCGAGGAACUUUACAUAAAGGAGAUGCCUUAUGAAGUUUUUCACUUACUCUUCUCCAACAUCCCUUAAUAUGUUGGUGAGUUGAUUCGCGAUGCCUAACGCCAGAGCUGCGUUGUAGACGCUCUCUGUCGUAGCUUUAGACUCUGGUGCGAUACCCAUCACAGGAACACUCACUAGCCCCACCGUUCCUGCUACGUAAUAGCAGUAGAGAUAGAGCUCGUCAAAAUUUUUGUAUCUUGACUUCUUAAGGUCCAUUCGCAUCCCUUGGAUCAUGUCCUUGAAUGGCUGAGAUUGCAACGGAAACCAAUCUAUGAAUGAAAAAGCUAUGAACAAAGAUGAAAGGCCCCAUGCUAUAAGUCGUCUGGAAACAGAUCCUUGAUGUUUAUUCAUUUUGGAUUUGAAACCUUCAAAGAUUUAGAACUUAAAAGGAAUGAUCUGUAAUUAUCUUUCUUGCUGUAACCUUUAAAUUCUGAUGCAACCUGAAGGAAUUUUCUGAAAUUGAACAACACAAGUUUAAAGUUCAAAUCCAACAAAAAAUACUUCACAGAUCUGUUUUCAAAUGACAGAUGGUUAGGCCAGUGUCUAUACAUUUUUGCCGAAGUUAUGAGUACUCUUAAGAUUAGGAAAUGUGCCUGAAUAUCAACAGGGAACUUCACAACAGUAUCUGAGAGAGCAGCAUCGAGCAUGUCGUAAGGACGGCCUGUGAACAGAUCCUCCAAGCGCGACUCCCAUCGAUCGAGAGCUGAGGGCGUGAUGUGAGAGGCAUUAGGCCCGUCAACAAGUUCAUCUGUUCUCCUGCACCACACUGGAUACAUGAUCCACUUUAGAUCUUCGAAAUUACAAUUGAAGAACCUUUUUCUAAAGGUAUCAAACUAUUGGAUUGGAUGCUAGUAUGUUACCACAAAAUCAUGAUUAAGAAAUGCGGCACAUGAAUUUGAUCAUCACAUGGAAGGUACCAAAAUUAUCUGACACGUGAUUUAUGCGGUGAAGUAUUAAAGUGACUUGAUGAUCUUUUUAAGUUUCUUGUGUAAUAAGUUAUAUAUUGAUUUUAUGCUUAGGACAAUUAUUGUUUAACCAUUAGACAUAAACAAAGUUGAGUGUGUGUCUUCAGCUAUGGGAAAUCAAUCAUUAAACAAAACUAGACAAACAGCGACUUCGUUUUAAAAUUGAUGGUUUCUGCAGAAAAAUGUAUCAGAAACUAAGUAAAAUAUUAAAAUCAAAGAGAGAGUAAUUAAUCUAUCAAGUAUUGUGGUAAUGUACCGUAAAUCGCCCAAAUUGCUUGCCGCCUUUCAUGGGUCAUAAGAAGUGUUCCUGAAAUAAGAUAAAUUCUAGCUCAAUUAUACAUUCUAAAUUUAAAUUUCUCUAUUAAGGUGAAUAACUAUAAGUUGGACUUUGAACUAACCCAAGUAGAAGGUCUUAGCAUACUCUGCGCAUACUUCCCCGCACCGAUCAUAGGCUUCCUUCAAUACAUUCGUCGAGUCAGAAAUGGACAACUCCAGUUUCACAUCGAGCUCGGGCCUCAAUCCCCUAUUCACCAACGCGGCCUGUUUGAGCACCACAUCAUACACCUUCUGCUCCGAGGAAGUUGCGACCUCUCCUACCUGGUUUGCGACUAAACUCGAAUAUACCUGGAAAUUUCGCCUAUCCUCUAGCUUGAAACCCCCAGAGGAGUGCUUGGAGUGAGCAUGCAUUGAGCACAAAUUCCAUUUAGGCUUCUUUCUGUGAAUCUUCUUAUUGUAUCUUGGACCAUAAAGUUUAGCGGAAUUAUCCGACAGAUAAAAACCUUCUCGAAUCGCCUCUGAGAGUCCGAGGACAGUAGCCAUUGAAGGAGGAUUCAGGAGCACGAAAACGACCUUCGAGCUUCUCGAGGGAUCUUCUAAUUGGAUUCAGAAAGGCUUGUAACAGCAAAUUGAAUCCUGGUUUGUGUGGGAUCACUGCAAGAUUCCAAAUUAUUCUUCAAUGAAUCUCAUCAUGAUAAACUUCUUUUACCCAUGUAACAACAUAGUCAUUAUUGAAAAUUUAGCACUGUACACAGCAGAAGUAUAGAGAAAGCAACAUACUGGAAAAAGAAGACCCAAAAUGAGAACAAAUCAAAGUUUAAAGAGAUGCUCUCUUUUCAUAAUUUAACAACUAAUAGAACCCAAAUAUAGGUAUAUAUUAUAUUUUAAAGGUGCACCCAUGUACUGAAGAUGGGUGGGGAGGAUAUGUUUCAGGGGCACUAACCUCUUACCAUUUCUCCAUCAUUCUGUGAAACAUGUAAGCAACAGCAAAAACUCCAAAGCUCUUCAAUACAUUAAUGUCACAAAGAGAGAGAGAGAGAGAGAGAGAGAGAGAGAGAGAGAGAGAGAGAGGGAGCUCUUGAAGACAAAAACUUAGCCUUCCUGACUCUCUCUCCUCUGCUCUCUGAGUGCUCUUUCUGCUCUCUCCUUGGUGGGUGGUGAGAAAGAAGUUAUUGCCUGCACUAAGUAUCCUACAUCUCAUUAAUCAUACUCAGUAUUUGAUAAUUAAUAGGUUAAAAUAAAGGAAAAACUUCAAAUACCUCCUUGGGGUUUCACUCUUUUUCACUUUAGUAUCCUGUGGUUUAAAGUGUAUUAAGUUAGUAUCAUGUGGUUUCGCACUUUCUCACUUUAGUAUCCUAUGAUUUAAAGUGUAUCAAGUUCGCACUUUCUCACUUUAGUACCAUGUGGUUUCAUAUUUCAUUAAGAGAAAAAUAAAAUCACAGGGUAUUAACUUGAUACAAAAAUAAAACCACAGAGUACUAACUUGAUACAUUUUAAACCACAGGGUACUAAAGUGAGAAAGUACGAAACCACAGGGUACUAACUUGAUACACUUUGACCCACAGAGUACUAAAAUGAAAAAAUACGAAACCACAGGAGGGUUUGGAAGUUUUUCCUAAAAUAAAACUACUGCCACUGAGUAGAUCAGUUAGUUAAUGCCCUCAACACUGAGAGUUAGGUUUUCGGCUCAAAUCUUAGCAAGUUCGUGUAUUGUGCAUGCAUAUGCGUAGGCAUGCGACCAUCUUCAAAGAGUCUUAAAAUUAAAGAUUCGACCCCCCCCCCCCAUGUGAGCUAGAAUUUGGAGCUCAUGUCUCUGAAUUUGUAUUAUAGUAUCUUAGAGGUUUCUAUGGAAUAAGAAAAGGAAUUUAAAAUCAAUUAAAUUAGUUCUUUUAAUUAUUCUUGGAUUAAAUAAAAUUUCUCAGACAAUUUAGGAAAGGGAUGAAAUAGUCUAUUCGUUAAAAAAAAAUUUCAGUAGGUGAGGAUGUUUCAAAACUAAAUUACGCGAAUAAUUUAAAAAAAACACAGGAAGUAAUUUGCAAUAUCAGGAUAAUACAGGAACUAUACCUACAUUUUACUUUAGGAAAAUAAGUUGCCAAGUUAUUUAAUUAGUGUUUUAGGAGUGCGGUGCAUGGUGCACCGGGCGCAUGCAAUAAUAAGGGAAAAGAGGGGCCGGGGAGGCUUGAGGAUUGAGAUGUGUGGACACGUGGAGGGGCCGGGUCCAAUUGGGAUGGAGAUAGGGUUAUCACAUGGAGACAACCAAUACCGUUUCGCCACGUGGCAGGAGAAUCCGAGUGGGGGGCGGUGGCGGGUGUCGACGUGUCACUGGGGAGGAGCGUGGGUCCCACGAAAAGGUCCCCAAUUCCAGUGCCUCACACGGGCCGUGGUGGGGACCGCAUAAUGCGACCGCACCUCUCUCUCUCUUUCUCACCCCACAAAACACGGUAAGGCUAAUAUAAUAAUUUUAUAUUAAAAUUUGUACUUUUUAAACAAAAUUAUUUUAACAAGUUAUAAAGUAUGUGAUUAGACUAGUUGAGUGUACUUGUAAAUGUAUUUACACGUAACAAUUAUUUUAAUUUAUUUUAAAUUAAUAUAAAUUUGUAUAUUAUACUUUUUAAAAAUUUAUAAUAAAAAUUAUAUUUUAUAAAUUCAUACAUUAUAUUUUAUUAGAAAAUAUUUGUAAUAUUCCAUAUUUUUUAUAAAUAUAUUAAAUAUUUUUUAUAUAUUUUUCGAUUUCUAAUGAUCUAAAAUUUAAGUAUGUGUUUUAAAAAAAAAAACAUCAAAAUUUAAUUCAUAUUUAUUUUAAAAUUUAAAAUUUAGUUUUGAUCCACUAUAAUUAAAAUAUUUUAUAUUGUAUAAAUUCAUACGUUAUAUUUUGUCAAACUUUAAUUCAUGUUUAUUUCAAAAUUUAAAAUUUAAUUUUGAUCCACUAUAAUUAAUUUUUUUUAAUUAUUAACUCAAAUUUGAUAUCAAAAAUUAAAUUUAAUUCAUGAUUUUAAAUUCAAAUUUAAAUUUUAAUGUAAAACAGAUGAAUAGGAAUGUUAUUUUAUAACAGAUUGUCGUUCAUUUUUAUUUGAAAUAUUUUUAACAAAUUGAUCAUAACUGUUCGUGGGAUUAGAUUUAUAAAUGGAUAUAAAUGCUAUUUUUUGACAGAUUAAUCAUAACCGUUUGUUUGUUUUUAUUUGAGAUAUUUGUGACACAGCGGCCCCCUUUUUUCCUUUCUUUUUUUUAUUAUUUUUUUUGUUAUUAUUAUAAGAUGUUUUUGUUCGGCUUAUAGCAGGAUUCGAAGUCGAUAUUUAUUUAUUUAUUUAUUUAUUUUUGCAUGGAGUAUCUAUCUGAAACGAGAUGCAUCAGGAUUGUUGGGUGAUUGGCUGAUCCAACGGCCCUUAAUUAUUAGCAGUUCUCUUCUUAUUCGAUACGGUGCAAAAAUAAAAACUCUCAAACUGGUAACAAUGAAUUAUUUAUCAUUAAACUUGAUAAAAUCAUUAAUUCAUUUAAUAGAAGUAACUUAAGUAAUAAUCAUUAAAAGUUAAAAGAGAAGUGAAUAUAAAAAAUAAAGAUUAAAGAAAGUAGUUUUUUUUUUUUUUUUUAACUUAAUAGCUUGAGCUUUUACAGGGGAAAAAGUAUUUGUUUCUAUGUUAGGAAUGUGAAGUAAAGUAACACCUAAUUAUUCUAUAUCCCAUUAGCCCUUUAAUGGACUUCAAAACAUUAGUGGGAACAAAAAGUCAACUCCUAAUUCAUAGCUUGUUAUUUCUUUUUUGUGUUAUCCUAGAUUGCUUCUUCCUAGUGAUGGUUACAAUAAUGCAUGAUUGCAUAUAGGUGGCAAAAGAUAAGUGUAAAAAUACUAAAAUAGCAAUGCACUUUUAUUGUAUUAGAUUCUUUUUACCUGAGUGCUUGCCUUUUCUAGUAGCUACAUUAGUGUAUAGCACUUUUCCUACACUUAUCCACAAUAAGAAAUGACUACUUUUUUUAGGUAGUAGAAAUUAACCAUUUUGACUAACAUAAGUGCUUCUCCUUUUAUCUUUAGAUAAUUUUUCUUUUGCUUAGUUACUAAAUGUACUCAUUUCAUGUAGAAUUAUAUUAUUUCCUUUCGAAAUAUGUUAAAUGAGUAUGAUUCGAUACACAAAUAAUAAUAUUCGAACACGAAACUUCUUGUAGAUAGCAUUGUGGUGCAUGACACAAUAAUGUAAACAAAUAUUGCUGCAGCUUUAUUUUUUUACAUUGCAGCAACAUUACAAUCACAAACAACAUGUACAUGACACUGGUAAAGAAAAAAAAAAUGAAAAGAAAGAGAAAAGAUCAUCUCAACUAUUAUAAAUCAGCCAAUAAUCAAUCUUGAUGCAAUAAUCUCGGCUCAUGAAUCAGAUCCAAUCUCUUUUUUCUCUCCUUCAAGAUUCACCAACUGCUGCUUCGGGGAUUGGCAGCUUUGGCGUGAGAAAGUCCGUCAACACCCUGUAGAUCAUUUUACAGUUGUAAAAGAUUUUUUUCGUAUAUAUAUAUAUGCCCGUCAAAAUGCGCAUAUUUUCUUCUUUUGUAUUUUUUGGUCUCCUUACCUCUGCAGUCGCGACUGCGUGCGUCUGCAGCAGUGAAACAGUGAACUUCAGUUAGUUACGUCCCCUUGGUUUCUUCAGUAUAUUGCGAAAGAGUGGGCACACUUGCCUUUGCUUUGGCGGUACUUUUGGAGUGAUACUUAUCGUGCCGUUCUGGCUCACGGUUGGUGCCUGUGGUAUUUGAUCGCUCACCGUAGGCACUGUUUUCGCCUGAAAAAGUGUUACAGUUUAGUCACGGUGUUGAUUAAUUAUAUGUCAGCAUUACUUAAUGGAUGGUAAAUUGCUCGAAAACCCCACCAAUUUUCUGAACUGGAGGUUGUAGAACAGCUGGAGAUAGCGCUGCUUCGCGAACUUCUCCUCCUUGUUCAGCUGCCUCCAGAAGCCGUAAAUUGAUCCCAUAUUUAGCACUCUUGUGGCAUAGAUCUUCCAUGUAUAGCUGCGACCGUAAAUAAAUAGCUCGUCAGGAAACUUUUAGUCCUUCAAGUUCAACCCCAGCUUCAAUUAUGUCGUCAGAAUUUCAGAAUUUCAAAUUGUGCUGUUGUUUGAUUCGGAUAUAAAUUGCUUGGAUCGAGGGACUUAACCCAAAAUGAAAUGAUAGAAGUGGAUUCAUCGGUCUCAAUCUUUUACCAUUCAUAGAUACGUUGCAGCCCGGCAGUGGAAAUCUUGUUCCAGUAACUUGGAUCAUCCCUGCACUUAGUAAAGAAAUCGGCAAUCUUAUUGCUCGUCUCAUCCCCGUUGUACGGAUCGAUGUGGAAACCGGAGACCCCGUCCACGAUUAUCUCAGCUGGCCCUCCUUUGUUUGUUGCAAAUGUCGGGAGGCCGCAAUUCAUCGCUUCAAUCACGGUUAGCCCGAAUGCUUCAUACAAUGCAGGCUACGACGAAAAUUACACAAUUUAGUCCCUUUCAGUAGGUUAUUUGAUAAACAAUGAAAUACUAAAGACUUAGUGUUAGAAAAAAUUGAACUCCUAACCUGAACAAAUGCUCCCUUAGUGUCAGCGAUACAUCGGUACAGCUCGCCGUUCCGAGCCCGAUCAGUUUGCGCGGCUAUCCAGCGAAUCUGACCCGCUAGUUGGUACGUUUCGAUCAACGAGUGCAUCUUUUUUAUUUCCAUGAUCUCCUCCCUGUCCUUCGAUUUUUCCGGGUCCAAAAGGCCGGCCACCACCACAAGGUUCGCUAGGUCCCUUAGCCGCUUGUUCUUCCCGUACCAUUCUACCAAUCCGGAGAUGUUCUUCACAACGUCGAGCCGCGCCAUCGAGAAGAUGAUCGGCUUAUUCUUAUCUUCUAGGUACCCUCUGCAUGAAAUGCAGAUUUCGAUAUCUUUCAGGAGGGGUUUCUACAUUUAAAUCCUAAAGAGAUGUGCAAAUGAAGGAUAGUUUGAGGCCCUACAUGUGUUCGUCAUUGUCAACUUUGCUGUAUAAGAGCUCCUCGAUGGCGGGGUGGAAUUGCGUGAGGCGCUUCUGCUUCUGUGUGAAGGGGAAGUAGACCGUUUGAUCGGCUCCUGGAGAAGCUAUGUUGAACUUUGGGUCGAAAACGUUGAUGCCCGUCGCGUAGCGGCAUAGGCCUGGCAUUGUGAAUGCAUAGUGGCUCUCAUAUUGACCAACCUUAUCCUUACUGCAAGUUUCGAGAUAUCAAAUUAGUACCUAAGAAUAUGGUGGCUUUCCUAAGAAGCACAUAAAAAUUUGUUACUAGUAUUGACCUUCCGGCGAUUUCUUGGUAUGUGCUCGUGAUAAUGAAAUCGCUGGUAUUCAUCGCGAUCAUAUCGGCUGUGAAUUGGCACGAGAAAUGGUACUUGUGAUCCAAUUCCUUCCAAUGAACAUCAGAAUCUCCGUACUUGGUCUUUUCGAGAGCGUGCGCGAUUGUUCCCUUGUUGUUUAGAUUGUUUUAGAACACAAUUAGAUUGCGUUUAUAGCAGAAUAAAACAAUUUACUGGCGUAUAAAAAUUUGAACUACCUGAGUGAUUCCUAGUUUCGAUGAGAUUAGAGACGCGACCAAAUUUCCGUCGGUGUAAUUUCCGAUGAUCAAAUCCGGUUUCCCCUCCAAGUAAUCAAUAAUUUUAGCAGCAGCUUCCUGUAAUUCAUCAGAAAUCAUUUACUCAGAACAACAACACAUAUAUACCCCUAAAACUAUUUGUUUCUGCAUAUCCACUUUACAAUCUUAGUUUCCUGCAUAUAAAUAUCUGUGUUGUGUCGAAAAUGGUCCCUCUUUGAAAAUCCUUAUAUGAUAAAAUACUAAAGAUACUUCUGCGAUUUUACAGAGGUAUGCAUAUUCAGAAAGGUGAUUUUCGCAGAAAAGUCGCAUAAAAUUCAAACUGAGUCACACACAUACCUCCGCAUAUCUCUCGAGAUAGGGGUAGAUAUCAAAUCGCGAGACCCACUGGUUGAGAAUUCUGUUCUCCGUCCGAAACGGCACGCGGAGGAUGUGCGAGUGCUUCGUGUCGUGCACCGGCUCGAGCUCUUGGUCGCAUUUCGUCCCCUUGGCUUCCGGUAUCAGCCUUGUUAACUGUAUCAACAACAAAGCAUUAAGAUGUUAUUCUCUCCAUUUAUUCAAAACUUUAGUUUCAUAUUGUUUCAGUAAAAUAUCGAGGACGAAAACUUUACCACAAGAAUCUGGGGAGUUAUAUUCAGGCCCUGUUGUUUGAUUCUGAGGAGCAAUUCCUCUUCAAAGGCUUUUACUUGGUCUAGAAUGUAAACAACCUGUUCAGAGGGAAAAAGAAAAAUCAAAUUGCUUCAAAUGUACCCCUGCAGAAUUAUCUAUUUAUACAUAAAAUUCAUGUAAAGUUUGAAUUAUCAAGCAUGCCUCUUAAAAUUAUAAAUAUAUGGUUCUUGCAAUUUUUGUUGGAUUUUUAGUACCUGGCCGCCAGUGUCGGGCAAUCCGAGCACGUCUUCUUGCCCAAAGUAGCCGUGCACGGAGAAUACGACAAUAUUGAAAAUGUUAGGGACUCUACUGAAAAAUUUCUCCAUAUUUGCAGGGUCUGGUGCCUGAAGCACUUCUGAUAAGCAGUUCAGUGUCUCCUUAACUGUUUCUGCAUUAUCCCCCCAUCCUUUCUCCAAACCCCACUCCUGAAACCUGCCACCAAAAAUAUAUAUAAAAAAAAAAUUCAGUACAGUUUUCAUUUUAGUUGCUAAUUUUGAUGUCUUUUUUGUUGAUCAAAACCUUUGUUCGAAUCGCUGGAACGGUGUGUUCUUCGGAAGCCCGCUGACGAACACUUCUGACAGAAGCAGCACAGUUUGGAGCUUGUUUACGGUGUCGAUGGCAUUAUUUAUCAUCAGUUUCUGAGAAUGAAUUCACAAGAAGAAAAAAAAAAAAAAAGAGAGAGGAGUUUUUAGUUGUAAGAUUCUCCUGAACAAAUUGGAUAUGAUAAGUUAAUCCAAAUCAGUUACUUCUCCGCGGUGAUUGAGCGCGAGUAAGUAGUCCAGAAGCGGUUUCAUGCUCUCGGACUUGUCGCCCAGUUUCGAAGAUAAGAAUCUCGACACGAACUGCAUUCCAUUCCCUACGGAUGAAGGCAGUGCUAGGAGAGGGGUUGAUAGAUUGAAAGCCCCGAAGUCGAUUUCCAACGCAUUCUCGUCCUUCGCCCUGCGAUUUUCACAUGUUCACAAGUAUGAAUUUUCGACCUUUUUUUACAGAUCAAACCGCAAAGGUAAAAUCAUUUUAUCACCAUAACUUCAUACCAUUUCUCAUCAAACAAAGUUUCUUUGUACUUUAGGUACUCUGAUGGCGUGAUUCCCUCGACCGAGAGAUCAUUGGAAUGCACCUUAACAUACUCCCAGAUUCCGGGCUGAGGCCUCACUGCAAAGGCUACAUAUGGAGGAAGGACUACUGCUUCCUGUCACAUUAUAACAGAGUGUUUAAGUUUAAAUUUAAACUCAUACAACUUUUUUUUGUUUGAUGAAAAAUAGGUGAUAUGAGGAGUUUUGAGUUCUAAAACCUGUGUGGAGCUAAUGAUGUAGCCAAGAAAACCUUCCAUGAGCUUCGCUUUCUCGAGUUCGUUGUCCACCGAUUUGUCGAGCUCGUCCAUCAGAUGUUGGUUCUUCAUAUACCUCUUACCCUUCGAGACAUACCUGAAGUUCGAUAACAAAGAUGGGAAUGUGAAGCAAUGGAUUUUCUCGAAAAGCUUAGGCUAUCAGAGAACGUCAGAAAGUUAAAUGAGAGAAUCAUAGUAUGAACUAAAAAAACUAUUCAUUUUUCACUCAUGUCACAUGUCUCAUUCGUUGAUGUCAUACGAAACAAUCGUUUUUUCCAAUGACUCUUUAAUGAGGAUGUCCUACGUAGGACGCGCGCUAUAUUACAUAUAAUAUUUUCUUUUUUUUGUUUUUUUUUUCUUUUAAUGCAUGUUCAGUUUUGCGAUUGUAACAAAACACAACACCUGGAGAAGAUCUUCUUCAUCUGAUACCGGCUCUGCCGCAGCGCUUCGGGCAUGCUGUCUGCAAUGCUAUCCGAUCUGCUGAAGCUAAGCGCGGCGGCCAUGGUCGGAAUAAACUGAACUAAUUUGAUCUGGAAAUGCAGCAAUGCAAAAGGAAAAAGGGAAACUAUAUGUGACUUGGGUUUAUUGCACCACAGGAGAGGUAGGUAUUUAUAGGACAAGGAUAUGGUCAUGUUAGUUGGAAUAAGUGUGGGGAUAAGAGUUGGAAUAAGUGGUUUGGUGGGGAAAGGUAAUGUUGUGAGAGGAGAAAGCACAUUGCUUUGAGGAAGUUAUGCCAACACUGGAUAUUGUAAGGCAAGAAAGGCAUUCUCCUGCCUAAGACAGGAUUCCUUUUUGGGUUUUCAAAUCUAUAAUAUGUAUUACAAAUUUUUCUUUUUUUUUAAUCAUUUCUGUCGGAUCGCUGGUGCUAAUUAGCCAUUAAUUUCAAAUACUCGAACAGUUAGAAAUACACAACUAAUUCACUUAAGGCGUAUAAACACAACACCUAUGAAUUUUGAUUGUGAUUCGGCUCAACUAACCUUACACCGUUUCGAACAUGACUUGGCCCAACCUAACCUUCCGCCAUUUCGAACAUGACUCGGCCCAACCUGACCUCCCGCCACAGGACAAGAUGCUGGUUCUUUUAAGCCAACAAUUUAUUCUAGUGAUGUGAAAAAGAUUAAAAUUUUGUUCGUGAAAAAUUUCCACUCAGAAAACAUAGUUUUUCACUAUUUCUAUUUCUCAGAUAAAAAAUUUAAAAAAAAAUUAAAAUCUUGACAAAAAUGAAAUUUAAGAAAAUUAACAUUCCUCAAAACCAUAUAGAUAGAAUAUAUUUUUCCACUUAGAAAAAUAUUUUUUGGGAUAUUUUGCGGAAACCAAACAACCCCCCAUAUGUUAUCAUGCUCUCCUGUUAGUUGACCAUUUAAAUUUGAUCAAAAAUAUUAGUAUUCCUUUUUUAAAAAAAAGAAAGACGAAUUAAGAGGGAAAAAAAAGACUUAACAUUAACAAUUUAUUAGAUAAGAUUGAUGAGGGAGAUGAAGUUAAAAAAAUAAAAAUAAACUUCAAAUACCACCCCUGUGGUUUCGCACUUUCUUAUUUUAAUACCCUGUGGUUUAAAGUAUAUCAAAUUAGUGUCAUGUGGUUUCAUUUUUAUCUUUUUGUCAGCUUUUUCGUUUAUAUUUCGUUAAAUUAUAUAUAAAAAAAUUUCAGAUACCUUACCUAGGUUUAUCGAAUAUUUACUUUAGUACCCUUUAGUUUUAACUUUGUCACUGAUUUAAUAAAAAAAAUUAGUGAAAUCGAUAAUAAAAAGAUAAAAAUAAAAUCACAUAACACUAAAUUGAUAUACUUUAAACCACAGGAUACUAAAGUGAGAAAUUGUAAAACUGCAGGGUCAGUAUUUAAAGUUUUUCGAAAAAAAAAAAAAAAAAACCUACACUGUAGAGAAUAUAUGUGCAAACUUUUUUAAGUACGGAUGAGUCUAUAUAUAUAAUAAUAUAAACUUUGAAGUGAUGAAUACGUAAUUCUAAACCUAUGCAAAGAACAUAUAUAAUAUAUUAUUUCUUCAAUAACUCUUUUUAGCCUAUGAUUCUGCUUUUGUUCUCUUUUAAGCUUCUCCGAGAAGCAUUUCUCAGCUUUUUCCUUACUCUUUUUUUUGCUGUAGCUACUCCAUAGCUUUUCUUUCUCACUUGCUGGGUUAAUUUCCUUAACACUUGUAACCACAAAAAGGAAAAAGAAGCACUCAACAUCAAAGUCAACUAAGAUGAUCCAAACCCAACCUUCAAAUUCUAGUUUUAACUCAUAAACUUUGAUUUGGUUCCGCGUUUCCAAUCCAAUGCACUUUAUUUAUCUAAAAUCCGUCGAAAUAAAACAGUCGAACACGGUACGAAAUUACUAAACGAAGUCCAAAUCACGUCGAUAUGUAUGAAUCUGUUUAACUCGAAAAUAACAUAAUGAAAGUUUUGGAAUCUCUUCGUUGCUUAUCAUAGUUGAAUUUGGAUCUUUAUGUGGAUCACACAAGUUAGCCCUUUCCUAAAUGGAUCUAUCAAUUGAACUAUCCUUCUUUUUUUUUUUGCUUUUUUUUUUAAAAAAAAAAAGUUAAUUGAGCUAUCAUAGAUGGAUGAGUAAUGUUACGUGGGGUAAAAAAAAAAAAAAAAUGAAAAAUGAAGGGAGGACCCCUCAUUUUUUUUCACUUUUGAUUAAAACCCACUAACUUUUGAUGUUUUUUAGUUUGAGUUUUGAUACUUCGUUUAGUCAAAGGUUUUCAUUCAAUAAGUUAUUAAUAGUCAACUAAUCUUGUUUUAUUCGCUUAAUAUAAAUUAAAUUUAUUAAAUUUGGUAAAAUCACCAAUAAAUUUCAUAAAUUUCUCAAUUUAAAAGGCCUAUAGUUGAGGGGGUCUCCAUACUUUUUUACCUAUUAUAUGUUGAGUGGUCCCAAAGAAUUAGAAUGAUUAGAUUCUAAGUUACAUACACUUUUACAUCCAAUGUUCUUUUAAAAUAAUGGCUUUAUAUUUAGCCUUUUUCAAAAGGUUUGAGUUUGAUUUCCCAUAGUUCUAUUGGUAGUUAUAUAUGUAGUUUAUAGCAUCUGGGAAUGUGGAGAAAAAGUGCACAAUUUUUUAUAGUUUAAACUUUAUUGUUGAUUGGGUUUUUUCCAAAAGUUUUUUUGUCCCCAAUAAUUGAGCUUAUUUGGCACUAUUGAAGCUUCAUAUUUGAUAAUUGAAUAUUCCCAGUGAAUACCGACCGUCCUUCGAGCAAGUGACAAAGAGUUUGGUGGUUGGUACCCAAAGUUUCAAGUUCGAACAAAAUAUUCUCAGUGAAUGAAAUCCAACCAUUCCAAACCCCUACUUGGGUUCAUAUACAGUGUCUUUUGUUUCUUCAUUUUUCCUUUUUUUCUCAUACUAAUUUGUUACCGGUCAUCUACUAAAUGAAUGAAACGAAUAAUGUACUACUUUUUUCUCAAAAAAAUAAAAAAAAUUGUUACCUGGUCACAAGCCCCAGAUUUAACUUAAAUUUAGAAAUUUGUAUAGCUAGCUUUAGAAUAAUAUAUAAUAGAAACUUUGGGAGGUGAGACUCAGAGGGUUCGGAUUGUUUGGUUAAAUAUAAUUAUAAAGCCAGUAUAAUUCGAGAUGCAUGUGAUUAAAAAUGUAAUAGUUAUAAUUAUGUAUGUUUUAUUUGGUUUGAUGUAGCAGAAAACGUGCUGUACUUUGUUUGUUUGUUUGCGAUUAACAAUUGCAUUUAUAAAAUUUUAUCAUUUAUAUAUAUGUGAGAGUGAGAUAACCCUCUAUAGUAGAAUUUUUUUUCCUUAUGUAAGAUUACUAGGGAGAUAAAUUUAUCUUUGUCUAUUGUUAUUCUCUCCGACUCUACAAUUGAAACUGUAACUAACAAGGAGGCUCAAAUGCAUUUGUGGAAACUACGCCCACAAUUUCAACUGCUAUAUUUGAGCCUCCUAGCGUACAGUCCCAACUGUAGCAAUUGCAUUCAAAUGCAUGAACCAAAUAGCGAGUUUAGAUCUGCAUACAGUUAUAACUGCAGUUCAGUUAUAAUUACGUGCAACCAAAUAACCCUCACAGAAGUUUUCGGGUAAGAGGCAUAGCCACUUAAUUAGGGGCACAUUUACCAUAGCACUGUGGACCUGCAUUCUAGUUUAAAUGAGUUAAGAUUAUGUUUUGGAGCUCAUUACCAUCUACUUUAGGCUCGAUUACUUCAUAUAUUAAAAAUUACAUUAAUUAUUUUUUCCCUACUUUGUCAUUAGUUUAAAUAGAUUGAAAAUUUGAAAUACUUUUUGAAAAUUCAGUUAUAAAAAUGUAUAAAAGUAAAUCGACAGAUAAAGUUAGUUAUAAUUAGUACCGUAAAAUUAUAUAAAUCAAAUAACAUUAUUCAAUAAACUAUCUAUCUUGGUAGUAUUAGCAAAAUAAAAAUUUCUUUCAUCUAAUUUUUUUAAUCUAUAUAUUAAAGAUUUACGAUAAAGAUAUGACAUAUCUACUCGUUGUAGUAACGUUUUACAAUCUAAUUUGCCGAUUAUUUUAAAUUUUUAAAUUUAUUUGAAAUAGUAAAAUAAUAUGUAGAAUAACUGACGUAAUUUUUAACACAGAAAAAAUAAAUGAGACAUGAUCUAAUGUGCAAGAAAAGUUAUAAGAUUAUGAUGCCAAAAACCUAAGACAUCAUAUUCAAUUGACACUUAAAUGACCAUGCAUAAUGUGGUAAAUAUACACGAGAAAAAAGGGGCAAUUGCUUAUAUAUCUUUGAAAAGUUUUCGAUCUUUUUAUUUAUCUUUUUAGAAGGUUAAUAUUAAAAAUAUCCUUUUAAAUUUUUAAAGUUUUUCAAAUAUUUCCCCAUAAUUAAAUUCUAUUAGUGAACUGUUAGGAAUAACUGUUAGCUUUGUAAAAUUAUCAUUUUAUCCUUUCAAAUAUACUUUUCUAUCGUCAACAAUAUUUUUUUAUUUGCCCUUAAGUUAGGAUUAAAAUAAGUAUUUUGACUAUUUAUCUUUUCAAAUAUAUCCUUCUAUCAUUACUAACUUUAAUUAUUUACACUUAAGUUAAAGGCAAAAUAGAUAUUUUUACUAUUUUUUAACUAUGGUAAAAAUUUAACUCAGUUUUAACUCGAGAUGACUUAACGAACACUAACAGUAAAAAUAUUUUUAAAUAACGAAGAAAUAUACGAGGGAUAUAUUUAAGAAAUAAAAUAAAAAAAAUAUUUCAGAGGUUUUGAAAAGUAUAUUGGCAAUUAUCCUUAAAAAAAAACUUUAAAUAUCCACAUUUUUUUAUUAAUUAUUUAUCUCAUAUAAUUACGCCACGUCAGCAUUCUCUUUUUAAUUUUUUUAUUCCCCAAUUCAAAACCAACCCUCUCCUAACGGCUACUCCGCCUCUCGAUUUGAAACAAACCAAAAAACUAUCUAAAAAAAAAAAAAAAAAAAUUCUUCGCUCUUCCCCCUUCCUCCUCUCUCUAGGGUUUCCUCUCCAUCGAUACCUCAUCGCUCGAUCCGUUCUCGGAAUUGAGGAGAAGGUUUCGGAUCGAUUCUCUCCAUUUCUAGGGUUUCCAAGAUCUCGCCUUGGGUGACUGGGGCGCGCAGUUUUUUAGGGCUUCCAUUGCCGACCAUGGAUCUACCCCCGGAGACCGACGAGUUCAUCAGGGAAUCGAUUGAGAGCUCCCUCGGCCUCCAAAUCUCCGCCAAGAACAUGCAGAUGAAGCUCCUCGCCUCCGAGGACGCGCGCCACCGCCUCCAAGAUCAGAUCUUCGUCCUCGAGGAGCGGCUCCGCGAAUCCGAGCGGCGGCUGGAGCAAUUUAGGGUUUGGGCCGUUUCCUAGGGUUUUAAAUCUCUUAUUUGUUUGCCUCUUUUGGGGGCGGGGUUCGGGGGGGGUUUGGACUUAGGGUUUUCAUGUGUUGUCGAACAGGCGGAGGCGAGCAUGAACGCACAGGCGCUGAGGCGGUCCAUCGAGGAGAAGGAGAUGAUCGCGUCCGGGUACAAUGAGUCGAUCAACAACUGCGCAAAGUUGGAGAGAGAGUGCUCGCUCUACGAACGCGACCUCGAGAGGGUGAUGGAGUCGUACGAUGAAUUGGCCAAGGAGAACGAUGAGCUUCGAGCGAGGCUACAAGACAACUCUGCAGUAAGCGCCGCAGCUCCCAAUUUUCUCAAUAAAGUGAGAAUGUUUUAUGCUUCCCUGUUCCUCAUGAGCAUUCGAGGAGAUCAAAAUUUGGUAAUGGUAUCAAAUUUUAGGGUUAUUUUUGUUCUUCCUGUGUUGGAUAGCUAAUAAAUUUGGUUGUUGCUUUAGAAGAAGAUCUUGUGCUUCUACAAUAAUUAUGUGAGUUUUCAAUGUAAUUGCUGGUAUAUAAUUGUGCUUCUGGAAUUGAGGAAAGGAAAAAUGGAACAGCUUUUUAGUUCAUCCUCUACUUAGAACUGUAACUUUGGUAUUGUAUAAAUUACUCAAAUAGAUUUGCUACGAAGUUAUAAGUAACUUCGCUUUAAUACGACUUUAGUUUCGUAGUUAGACUAUUUCUUGGAUUAAUCAUCUUACUCAACUUCUUUUUCGCAUUUGAGUUUAGUAAAUAGCUAGGUAAUGUGGCCUAGCACAAUGUGCAACCAUCAGUUCUCAAAUUUUGUGCUUCAUUAGGACGAGUCAGAAAGCUGUGAGGAUAAUGAUAAGUUCUGUUUAUUACUCAGUUUAUGGCUUUUUUUUUUUUGUAGCUCUGCGUGAUUUUAAUGCCUCAACUUUGUAGAAAUUUGCUUUUACUUAAAUGAAAAUGAGCUGAAUUUCUAUGAACUCAGUAGAGUUUGCAGUUUAGUUAUCAUCAGUUGGUGCGUUAAAGUACAUUUGUGUGGAAUCUAUAGUAUCACUUCUUUAUAUAAUGUUCUUCGAACAUUCAAUGUUUGUGCCAACAAUUUGUUCCGAGUUAUAUCUUCAUUCUGUAGCUUGAACAUUGUUGUAUUUGAUUCCUGAUGAUAUGUUUGAAAAUUACGGUACAGCUGACAUCAUUAGCUGCUGAAGUCGAAUCUCUGCAAAGGGAGAAGGAACAAGUGCGGAUUAAUCUCAAUAGAGCGGAAGCAGAGGUAAAACAAUCAAAACACACAUUUCCUUCUUUCUCUCUCCUGGGUCCUAAUGGCCAUGAUCUUAUAGUUAUAUGUUUCUCAAGGUCAAGGUACUGUUCGACGAAAACAAGAUUUUGGAUGAAGAGAACAAGAGGCUGCUGGGGCUAUUGAAAAGAGAGAGGCAUCUCAUGGGAUCCGAGGGCAAGCGCUCCGCCAGCGCUUCAGCUAAAGUAAAACAAUUACUGAAUUCCAUUCAUAUUUAAGCUUUAAUUAGCUGUAAUUUAUGAACUGCGAUUUCUGUUUCCUGUUAUUCGUACCAAACUAUUCUUUUGAUAGAAGUUCAAAUAGAGGAAAUAAACCGAUCACAUUUAUUUACAAUUUGACCCUAAACCUGUUAGGAUUUUUGCGGAAAAAAAAUCACAAACAACUUUUCUAUAAGAUGGAGCCAAAAGUUUUAAACUAGAACUUGUAAUUUGGAGCUAUGCACGCAAUAACUCCUACCUCUUGAACUAAAGAAGCUGUGUUCAGAAGCCAGGGCGAACACGCAGUUAAAUUGAAAUAACUUCAUCUUUGCAUAGUGAAAUUGAUUAUUUUUAUGUGCUUAUUCUGUCACCUUAUGCAGGGAAAGCGCAAAUCGAGUGUGAAGGACAGCAGCCCGACUGGUCGGGCACUUGAUUUCGGUUCUGCUGACUCUUCACGACAGCCAUUGUCGCCUCUACACCAGAACACGCCUGAUUCGCGAAUGCACAAGAAGUAGAACAAUGUUCGCUCCUUGGUCAAAUGCUGCUGACUCAGCCAACUGAUUUCACUCUUUGGCUAAUUUUACUUGGUUUUUGUUGUGGACUGUUAUUUCAUUGUGUUUUCAAGUGAUUGAUGUUCCAUUCUGGCACAUCUGGUUGCACAUUUUGCGGUGUCACAGUAACUUAGAGAAGUGUUGUUGUUUUUGGCAAAAUAUAGGCUAAAUUACACUUUCCGUAAACUAUGAGGUGCAUGACAUUUUGGCCCUUAAACUUUAAAUUGUUGUAAUUUUUGGCUUCAACCUUUUACAUUAUUGCAGUUAAGUUCGACGGUCCAAUUUAGUUGACUAAAUAUUGAUAUGUCGUUAAUAUGAAAAUGAUGUGGCAGUGCUGUGACUGAUUACGUGAUAAUUGAUAAAAUAUUAUAUUACUGCCACAUCAGUGAUACAUCAAUAUUUAGUUAACUAAAUUGGAUCGGAGAAUUUGAUUGCAAUAACUUAGAAAAUUCGAAUCAGGAAUAGUCAUGCACCCUAUAGUUUGAGGACCAAAAAUAUAAUUUAGCCCGAAAUAUACGUUUCUUUGGUACGGCGGACCUUCUCAAAGUGCGCUUCCGGAAAAGCAAAAAUGUCCAUGAGAUCAACCAGUGUGUCUGAACCCUAGAAUCACAUUACAGUGUGACCAGGAAUUGAUGAUGUAGAAAGAAGGAACACUCUUUUUCAGUUUUGCUAUUGCUAACCCCCCUACUCGAUUCUGACUGAAAGUGCAGCAAAAACACAAUUAUUCUAAAGCAUUUCGCAUUUGAGUUUUGACAGACGGCCAAAAAAAAAAGAAAAAACAAAAGCCCUCGAACAAUUUUCUGACAACAUUACUACUGUACACAACAUCAUUACACAUUUUGAUGCAAAUCUGUAUUCUUACACCUAAUAUGAAUCAUAUCAGUUCGUUAUGAGUGACGAACAUUGUUUCGAAUGGAUCGGUUAGUUUGAGGUACUUGUAAUGAAUUGUGGUUUAAUAAUCACCAACAGUAUGCACUAUACACAUUUGAAGAGUUGUAAGAGAUCUAUAAAGCAGCUGAUUGCCUGUUAGCGGGGUCUUCGAGAUUCAGUGCUUCCAAUAACUUUCGCCAAGACUCGGGGAUUCCCCCCGGUAAGUCGAACUCCAAGAGCUUCCCUCGGCUGCGAUAGAACUCCUCAACUGGCUGUGUCUGUCGAAGUAAAUAAUUCUUCUUUAAAUACUACAAGGCAAGAUUUUAAUUUGAAAAUUGUAAAAUGCUAACUUUGAAUCAUCCGAAUAAUAGCACACAUCUACCGCUAAAUGUUUGUCAUGUGCUAAACCUACCACUGCAUCCAAACCACUGAUGAUAUGAGGAUUUGCAAUAUUUAGUAUAUCAUCCGAAGUUUCUAAAGUAGAUGCAAAUACUAAUUUAGUUUAUACAAGAGCGAAAUAUCUAUGCAAGUUUAGGUGCCAAUCAAGAAAUUGUUUUCGAUCCUACAAAGAUAUGGAGAAAUCCAUUCUCUCAUAUCUCAAUAGUGAAAUAGAGCAAAAUCUACUUAACCAAGAACUUGCUUUGGUUGCUAACUAUUUAAAAAGGGAUAGAUACAUAGAGAAAGUGGGCAUACCACAUCGAAAUAUAUACGUAACCUUGUCUUCACCACCUUUUCAUCAGCAUCAUCUUCACGUAUUACGAGCUUUGACAAGCAUUGUUCCGGAGGUAGAAUCUGGGGCAUGUAAAUAUGCGGCCUCCCAUCCCCGCCUUUAAUGUCUACAGAUGACACAUUAAAGUUCCCUCCACAUUCGCGGCAAAUCCUUCUCCCAAGGCACUUCAUAAGCAGUGCUUCUUCUCUGAGCUUAAGGUUUAUCACUAGGUCAAUAUCAGCCACUCCCUCUAGUAUCUCCUACCAAUUAAUAAGACCAAAAAUAACUUGAGUUUCUUAGAAAGUAAAUUUGAAAAAUCAGAUGACUACUGCUAAUUAACUAAAAUUCAAUGGAAUCAAUCACAUCAAGAUCAAUUAACAAACAAGAACAACAUCAACAAAAACGACAUUAAAGUUUAAGCUAAAUGAUCAGACUUAGCUAGUUAGUUGCUUCACAAGGGGAUUGGAAGUCUUGGCCUCAAGUUAUACCAUUGAAACAACUAGUUUAUUCUGUUUAAAAAUUCUUUGAUUCAUUGUGGGUUUAUCAUAGCAGAUAACAAGUGGGAGGCUGCUCAUGUGCAUUGUUACUAAAGUAUUUCACCAGUCAGCCCUUUCUCAUUGUGAAAGUACUGUUUUUUUAAAAAAAAUUUGACAAACUUCUAUAUUAGGGAGUGCUUUCUCGAGUUACCAGGAUUUUGACCAGAGGGACCCUCCUUGAAACACGUAAUAAAGGUAAGGGAUCUAAUUGCAAAAGUUUAAAGGCUGGUUAUGGAAGUGAAAACUUGGGAAAAUGUUCGGACGAAUGGUGCAAUUAACCCAAAAAAACAAUGUCUUAGAUGUAUAACUAAAUACAGGUGCCCAGAUGACAGCAAACUAGAAGGUCAGAUGAAGAAACUGCAGAGCAAACUAGAAGCUAGUAAGUGUUGCUUAGCCAAUUAGAGGACCUACUACGGAAUAACACCCAAAAAUAAAUGAAGAAUAAUAAACAGAAAGCAAAAAGAUAAUACUGCCAUCUAUACUUUUAACCAAUGUGAACAGCUUGCUAACCGCUUGUCUAAUCGUUCGUGGAAAGCCAUCAAGAAUGAACCCCGAUUCACCUUUAGCUUCUCCAUUUUUUAGAUGCUCGGACAACAAAUUUACGAUAAUCUCAUCCGGUACCAGUUUACCUUGAUUCACAAUUCCAGCCAACUAAAGAUGAGACAAGAAACUAGUUAACAUCAACAUAAAGCAACAUCUUUUGAUAACACGCAAAGCACGCACUCUUAGACAAUGCGGUGAAAGCAUAGAAAACCCCCCAAAUAGUCCUGAAUCGGAUAGUAUAAGGACUACAUUUCAGUACAGAAGAACUAGCAACUCAGUAAUCGUGGGCUUAAGUAUUUAUGGUUAGUUGUUUAGGCUCAACAGUUGCUAACAAUUUCGCCUCUCUAGACAAACUUUUUUUAAAAAAUCUAAUAGAAUUCUUAAUCAAAAGUUAAAGGGAAUGCCAAUCUAAAAACAAAGAAACAAAAAAAUUGAAUUUGCAUACAGUUGUGGGGGGUUCCCCAUACAUUCUUACCCUAGAUUUUUUUUUUUUCAUUUUAACCCUUUAAAAAUUUACAAUUGGUGAAAUAACCUUGUAAAAAAUGUAUUUGUUCAAAUAACUCUAUUUUAUCCAACUCACUGUCAGGGUAUAAAAAUAAUUGAAAGACGGUCAAUCAUUUACCGCCUUUAAUAGAUUUUAGAAGACAGUGAAUGAUUCACCAUCCUUUUCUUUUCUAUUAGAGGCGGUAAAUGAUUUAUCGUAUUUCUCUUAAAGUACAAAAUGAUGAAUGAUUUACCGUUUCUUUCUAUUUUCAUAUAUAAUCUUAACAACCACAUAAAUAUUUCAACAAAUAACAUAUAAUCCUAACAACUUAAAAUAUUCUAACAACCUAUCCAUAUAAGUUUAAUCAUAAAUAAAAAUUUAAUAAUCCUCAUACAAUCUUAAAAACCUCUAUAAAGGCGGUAAAUGAUUCACGUGUUUGUUAAGUUAGUUGGCCAAAUAAACUUUUGAAAGAAUUAUUAGGCAAAUUAAAAAUUUUAAUAGGGUUACUGUAAAAAAAAAGUCCUCUUACCCUUCCUAAUCUAUGCUUAACAAUGAAGCGUCCUUUAAAUUAAUCAAGCACGCAACUUCUCCGAAACCUAAUUACAAAGUGGAGACGACGAUCCAAGUGUUUUUGGAUCAAGAGAUGUCGCUAAUUACCUCCUUGGCGAGCGGGGCGGGGGAGGCGAGCUCGUCGCGGACGAGAUCCCCCAUGGCGACGUGGGGCACGCCGAGGAGCUGAGAGAGGCGGCUCGCGUAGGUCCCCUUCCCCACCCCGGGGCACCCCAGGAACACCCACCGCACGCCCCGUCUCGCCGGAACCCCAAUCUCCGCCGCUCCCUCGCGGCCGAGGCUCGCCGGAGAGCGAUCCCACGCUUCCGACGCCGCCGCCGACGACGAGAUCCGUCGCCUCGCCGCCGAUCCGCCCACGGAUCGCCCCGAUCGGAUCAGCGCCGCCAUGGACAAGGCGAGUCUAGUGGCCUCGGAGGGGAGAGAAGGAGAGGGAGGGGAGGGUUUGAAAAGAGAGAGAGAGAGAGAGAGAGAGAGAGAGAGAGAGGGGAAGUGAGAAGCAACAAAGGUGACGUGGACAGUACGUUCUAAUUUAAAAAUCUUUACUAUAAACCCCCUCACUUAUUUUCCGGAUCUCAAACUUGUACUACUACUGUAUAAAAUUUUGGGGAAACUUCAAAUUCUCCCUUGUGGUUUCGUAUUUUCUCACUUUAGUAUCCUGUGAUUUAAAGUGUAUCAAGUUAGUACCAUAUUGUUUCGCACUUUCUCACUAUAGUACCCUGCGAUUUCAAGUGUAUCAAGUUAGUACCCUGUGGUUUCGCACUUUCUCACUUUAAUACCCUGUGGUUUAAUAUUUCGUUAAAUUAUAUACCUCGAAAUGAAUAAUAAAAAGAGAAAAUUGAAACCACAAAGUACUAACUUGAUACAAAAAUGAACCACAGGGUACUAACUUAAUACACUUCAAACCACAGGGUACUAAAGUGAGAAAGUGCGAAACCACAUGGUACUAACUUGAUACACUUUAAACCACAUGGUACUAAAGUGAGAAAGUGCAAAACCACAGUGGGGGUAUUUAAAGUUUUUCCUAAAAUUUUUAAACAAUAUUAAUUUUACACUUCAGGUGUGUCUUAAAUAUACUUUUUAACUUAAAAUCAUAAAAAAUAAUAUUUAUGAACAAAAAUUUUUGGUGAAAGAAAUUUUAUGUUUGGUAAUAUUUGAUUCGGAGAAAAAAAUAAUUUUUCAUUAAUAUUUAUUUGGUUGAAAAAAUAUAUUUUUAUAGUUAUUUAAUUUGAUAAAAGAAAUAAAUGAAAAAAAAUUUAUAUAAUUUUAAUUUUCGUUUUUCAUCCAAAAAUAGCAAAAAAUAAAAAUUUUAAUUUUUCUUCAAAUCUAUAAUUACGUUGAAUCAAAUAAAAUAAUAUUUUGAUUAGUUUUAUACGAAACUAAACGUGCCCUUAGAUGAUACAGACACUAAAAUCUAAUUCAUUGUGCAUAAUAAAUAAGUACUAGUGAAAUACCCGCGCGAAGCUGCGGAUCUAAAAUAUUUUUACAAUAAAUUUUAUUUUUUUUCAUAUUUUUAUAUAGUUUUAUAAGUCUAAUUAUUAAUUAAAUAAAAAUUAUAUAAAAAUAAUUUAAUAGUUAAAUCUAUUUAAAUAAAAGUCAUUAAAAUUGGUAUAUGCGCAAAUAAAUUUAUACAUCACUUUAUUUUAUAAAGAUUUCUAUGAGAAGGAUUUGAGAUAAAUCUAUCAAAAUAAUUUUUAAAAAAUCAAUAGAUAGAAGGGAAAUAAAUUUGUAGAAGAAAUUGCUUAAUAAAAUUAAUUAUAUAUAUGUACACAUAUACACUAUAUUUUUAAAAUUUUUCACUUGAAAUUUAAAUUAUGUAUUUUUUUAUACAACGAUAUUUUACAUGAUUUAAAUUAAAUCUAUCAUGUUAAGUUUUAUUAUGCGAUUUAUUACGCGUAUUAUUAAUAAAUUAAUUAAUUAAUUUCAUAGAGUUUAGAGAUUUAAAAUUUUAAAUUUUGAAGAAAUUUAAGUUAUGUAUUUUUUUAUACAACAAUAUUUUACGUAAUUUAAAUUAAAUCUAUUAUGUUAAAUUUUAUUAUGCGAUUUAUUACGUGUAUUAUUAAUAAAAUUAAAUUAAUUAAUUUCAUAGAGUUUAGAGGUUUAAAAUUUUAAAUUUUGAAGUUAUAAAAUUGGAAAUAAAUAUUAUAAGUUAAAAUUAAAAUUUAGAAUUUAAAAUAUAAAAUAUAAAAUUUAAAACUUUAAAAUUUGAAAGUAUCAAAAUUUUAAAUUUUGAUACCAAAAUUUAAAAUUAUAUAUAUAUAGAGAGAGAGAGAGAGAGGAGAGAGAGAGAGAAUAA
rnacentral:lncRNA from 1 species